rnacentral:lncRNA from 1 species
CAGAUUAUAUAUAUAUAUAUACUUUAAGGUAUCGUUUGGUUCGGGGAUAAGCAAAAAGUGGGUAUUCCAGGGAUAGGUAUAAAUUGAGGUAUAAGCGGAGAUUAGAUCAAUUUUGCGUUUGGAUGAAAAUUGGGUUAUUCCUGGGAAUAAGAAAAAUAACGUUUGGUUAGGUAAGAUGGAAUAAGAUUUAAAGUGGGUAGUUAUAAAUAAAAAUUAAUAAUAUUAUCACUUUUUUAUUUAUAUUAGAAUUUAAAUUUUUAUAUUUUAUAUUUAUAUUUUAAAAUUUAAAAUUUUAACUUUUAAAUUUCAAAUUUUGAAAUUAAAAUUUAAAAUUUAAAAUCUCAAAUUUUAAAUUCAAAAUUUAAAUUUUAAAUUUCUAACUUUAAAUUUAAGAUCAAAUUUAAAUUUGAAAAAAAAAAAAUUCAAAUUUAAAAUUUCAAAAAUUUAAAAUUUCAAAAUUUAAAUUUAAAAUUUAAAAUGUGGAAUUUAAAAUUAUAAACUUUAAUUUUGAGAUUACAAAUUUUAAAUUUUAAAUAUAAUUUAUUAUAAUAUUUUAAAUUUUAAAUUUUAAUUAUUUUAAUAUUUAAAUAUAUAUUUAUUAAUAAAUUAUUUAUAAUAUUUAAAUAUAAAUAAUAUGUAUAAUAUACGCACAAUUAAUAUUUUAAUAAUAAUAAUGUAUUAUAAUAUAAUAUAGUAUUUAUAUAAUUUAGUUUUAAUUUAUUUUAUAAUUUAAUAAGUUUGAAUUAAGCAUGGGAAUAGCACUAUUCACUAAAAUGGUGAAUAGUAAAAAGCUUGCUAUUCCGGAAUAACCGGGAAUAGCAAGCUUUGACCGGAAUAAAAAUAUUCCGGUAAAAAAUGAUCCCCGUUGGGCGAAUAGUGGGGAUAAUCCCCGCUUAUCCCCGAACCAAACAGGCCUAAAGAAAAAAAAAAAAACUAAGAGUUGCACAGUAUUCAUCAUAAUAUAGACGACUCACAUACUAGACAACACUGUUUGGUAUCAUAAUAGAUAUAUUAAAUAGCUCUCAAUUAGGAGCAUGACCGGAUCCAAUUACCACCUCCUGUUUACUACUGUAAGUGGCUUGUUGGUUCAUCCAUUUUGGGUAUGAAAUGGGAAUCGUUUAUCAAAUCCGGUUAAUUUUGUUUGGUUCGCAUGAAUCGAUUUGGGAUUCCUAUUCCGGACUGGAAUGGGAAUGAUCCAUUAGCCUUCAACUUGAUUCCGGUCUUCUAACCCGGAUUAAGAUUUCAUUUCGGAAACCCACUAAGUUCUCGAAACUCAUAUGACCAUCUCACCCUCCUUCUCUCCACUCCUUUCUCAUCAAAAAAAAAAAAAAAAAACUAUCCUCUCUCAAAACCUUAUCCCUAACCCACAUCAAUAAAAGUUUUUAAAAAUAAAUUUGAUAUUUUUUUUGAAAAACUUAUUAGAGAAUAGUAUUAUAUUUUUCAUACAUUUUAAAUAAUAUAAAUUUAUAUUUGAGAGUAAAAUUAGUAUUAUAGUAUUCUAUAAUUUUUUUAAUUUAUACGAACCAAACAAUGAAAUGUGAAUAACUCAUUCCAAUUCCCAAUCCACAAAUAAACCAAAUAUCUUAGAAGAGUGGGUCAUUCCAAUUACCAUUCUAAUUCAUUCCCAUUCCAUUAUCCAUUUCAAUUCCACCCUUGAACCAAACAAGCCCUAAAUGUGUCCCCCCUAAAUUUUUUUUUUAAAAAAAUAUAGUUCUGCAAACUUUAAAAUUUUGUAAAUAUAUUUUUCGACGGGUCAAAACUUUAUCACAUUUUUGUAGUACAAUAUUUUGCCGGAUCGAAAUUAGCUAUUGUGGGCUAUUAGAACGGUGAUAUCAACCUUUAUCAUUUUUCAUAAUUAGUAAAACUUUGCAGAAAUAUAUACGAUAUUUUAAACUUCGGAGAAAUAAAUAUACAAAUAUUUAAACUUACAUUUUUCAAUUCUCCCUUUGAAUAAGCUGAUUUUCUCUACUUACUUAGGCUAAUAAGCAAGGGAUAUUUUAUUUAUAUGUUUAAGACUAGUUGUUUUACUUGUUUAGCUUUUUGCUGCUGUUAGCUGUACAAUUUGCUCUGUUAAUUUGACCAUUUCAUGCAUGUGGAUGUGCGUUCGCCGAAUUUGUUGUGCCCGUUAAUGGAGUGAAAGGUCACUGAAAAGCUAGUUCCAUAUUUUGUCUUUACUGGGUCUAGAUCCAGUUAAAUAGCAAACUAGACUUUUGAGUUUAUUGAAUACUUAAUGCAUGUUUAUAAUUAAUUAAUUUGUUUAUUCUUAACUUUCAUUGAAGAUACAAUAUGCUCUUUGAGACUUUUGAUCAUACUUCUCCUUUUACCUAAUGGCUAAUGCUAUAAAUUUUCCGCACAAAUAAAAUUAUUUAUAUUAAUAAGAUGCUCGUACAUCUAAAAAUGUCUUUGGAUUUGAAGUUGAGAUGGAUUAAGAAAAGAUCAACCAGUUGGUCCACGGUUGGUUUGAUAGACCAAAUCCAGACAAUUUAUCUGUAAGGACAAUUAUUUGCCACAUAUUAAUUAUUAAAAUAAAGACAAAAGAAAAACAAAAUCAGUUUCAAAGGUGCAUGUGAGUAAGGCUCGCAAUUCAGCUCGCUGCUCGCAAAUCGGCUCGUGUUCAGUUCGAAAUAAGCUCGAGAUCUAGUCGCUUAUUUAGUAAACGAGUCGAAUACGAGCUGAACUUUUUAGUUCAUUUAAUAAAUAAGUCAAACACGAGCUAAAUUCAACUCACUCGUGUUCGGCUCGAUAACAGCUCAAAUAUAUAUAUAUAUAUAUAUUAGUAUAUAAUAUAAUAUAUAUAUAUAUAUAAUAUAAUUACAUAUUAUAUAUAUUAUAUAUUUAUAUUAAUUUUUAGCCAAAAAAAAAUAAAGUCAAGCUCAAAAUUAUAAAAAAUUAAUAUAUAUAAAUAAAUAAUUGUAUAUUAAUAUAAUACUUUAUUAUUUAAUUUUUAGCCAAAAAAAAAAAGUCAAGCUCAAUUAUAAAAAAACUUAUUUAUAUGUAAAGUUUCAAGCAUUAGAUUAAAGUCUAACGGGUAAGAUUUUAUAAAUUUAUUUUUUGUCUAUAUCUAAUCUAAUCUAUUUAACUUAUUAUUCGUUGGUCAGCUCGUGAUCAGUUAGUUCGUGUUCGGUUCGUUUAUUAACGAGAACACGAGUUAAAUUUUUCGGUUCGAUACUUUAACAAGUCAGUUCGUGUUUUGCUAGUUUAGUCCCAGUUCGCUCGUGUUCGGCACUUUGACACCCCUAGUCGCUAGUUAGAUGAACCACAUUAUGGGACAGUAGUUUUAGGUGCCCAAAGACUAGCGUACAAAUUUUUCACUUGAUAUUUUUAAAAAUUGUUUAAGCAAAUCGGCCGUUGCAGUGCCGGUGCUGAUAUGAUCUUCGCAUUUCAGGUGGAGGCAGGAAGGUGACGAGGGUGGAAGUCACGCUGGAUGGCGGCGAGUCGUGGCACGUCUGCUCCCUCGACCGCCCGGAGAAGCCGAACAAGUACGGCAAGUACUGGUGCUGGUGCUUCUGGUCCGUGGAAGUCGAGGUGUUAGACCUCCUCGGCGCGAAGGAGAUCGCCGUCCGCGCGUGGGACGAGUCCCUCAACACCCAGCCGGAGAAGCUCAUCUGGAACGUCAUGGUAAACACCAAGCAACCGGAUGCAUACAAUUUUUUAACUUUUGGAACAAAUUUUCUAUUACAUAGCUUCUUUUUUUCUUUUUUAAAUCAACAAAAGAGUAACUAUAGCAACGUGUACACUUUUUUUUCUAGGUAAAACUGUUUAGAAUUAUCUAUAACUUUUCAAAAUUUUAAUCUUACUAUAAACCAUUCAAUAUAUUUUAUUUGAGUCAGCUAACGACAUUUAAUUCCAAAACUUAAAUUGGUUGCUUAUUUUAAUAAACAUAUUGUUGUGAGGAUUAUGUAAAAUAUACUAAUUAAAUGUACAAAAAUAAAAAUUAUAUUUAAAAUUUGAAAUUUAAAUAUUAUUAGCCGACUGAAAUCAAAUCAAAUCAAAUCAAAUCAAAUUAGAAGAUUAAAUAAUAAAAUAAAAUGAAUUAAAAAAUUAGAGAUUAAAUUCAAAUGAUUCAUAGUUGGGAAUUAGUUCCAUUUAAGUACCGAAAUCAAACACCUGAUAUGCGCUACAUUAUCGUGCAUCCAUGCAGGGCAUGAUGAACAACUGCUGGUUCAAGGUGCGGGUGAACGUGUGCAAGCCGCACAGGGGCGAGAUCGGGCUAGUGUUCGAGCACCCGACGCAGCCGGGCAACCUCGCCGGCGGCUGGAUGGCGCGGCAGAAGCACAUGGAGUCCUCGGAGGGCGCCCAGCCGGCCCUCAAGAAGAGCACCUCCACCCCCUUCAUGAACACCGUCACGAAGCAGUUUUCCAUGUCCGAGGUGCGCCGCCACUCGACCCCCGACUCCGCGUGGAUCGUCGUCCACGACCACGUCUACGACUGCACCGCCUUCCUCAAGGACCACCCCGGCGGCGCCGACAGCAUCCUCAUCAACGCCGGCACCGACUGCACCGAGGAGUUCGACUCCAUCCACUCCGACAAGGCCAAGAAGCUGCUCGACACGUACCGCAUCGGCGAGCUCGUCACCACCGGCUACACCUCCGACGCCUCCGUCCACGGCGCCUCCAACUUCUCCCACCUCGCCACCAUCCGCGAGGCCACCGCAACGCGCGCCCCCGCGGUGGCUCUCUCCAACCCCCGCGAGAAGGUGCAGUGCACGCUCGUCUCGAAGACCGUCGUCUCGCACGACGUCCGCCUCUUCCGCUUCGCGCUUCCAUUUUCGGAUCAGUCAUUCGGAUUGCCAGUUGGUAAGCACAUUUUUCUUUCGGCCAACAUCGACGGCAAGUGGACCAUCUGGCCGCACUACGGGCUUGGGGGGCGCUAGUAGCGGUCGGCGGAGCGCUUGGCGGCGAACGGCAACUAGUUCUUCAACGGCGCGGGCCACAUGAGCUACACGGGGUUGCCAGGAAAUUAUAGAUAAAAACUCGGCUCGCCCUCUCUAAGCUCCACGACGCAGUACUCGGGCGGCAAGCCCUUAAAGCCCAAGUGCGGGAACUUCAUCUAGAACUGUUCCUCCAGCUUCACGGGCUAGAGCAGCUACCCCGAGCACCCGCACAUGCGGGAGUACGUGCCNGCGGCAACUUCUUGAUCAACGGCAAGCGGCGGUUCGCGAGGCGGCUGGCGAUGAUCGCGGGGGGUUCGGGCAUCACGCCGGUCUACCAGGUGAUACAGGCGGUGCUGCGGGACCAGCCGGAGGACCGGACGGAGAUGCACCUGGUGUACGCGAACCGGACGGAGGACGACAUCCUGCUGCGAGACGAGCUCGACCGGUGGGCGCGGGAGCACCCGGACCGGCUCAAGGUGUGGUACGUCGUGGGCGAAGUGCUGCGGCCGGAGGCAGGGUGGCCGUACAGCGUGGGGUUCGUGACGGAGCAGGUGCUGCGGGAGCACGUGCCGCUGGGCGGCGACGACGAGACGCUCGCGCUCGUGUGCGGGCCGCCGCCGAUGAUCCAGUUCGCCGUGCGCCCCAACCUGGAGAAAAUGAAGUAUGACCUUGAAAACUCGUGCCUCAUUUUCUAAGUGGAAGCACGGAGAUCUCCGUGCACGUACAGGUCUGGUUCCUAAGAGCAAAAUUGCGUACAUGUAUUCUUGUGAAGUUGGUAUUUGCGUAUAAAUAUUAAUAUUUUUUUUUUGAUUAUAUCAACUAUGUAUACGUCGGAUACCAACUUUUCAUGAAUAUAUUUACACAAUUUGAUAUGCUUGUAAGGGAUUAUGUGCCAAAAAAAAAAAAGGAAAAAGAAAAAAAGGGAUGUAUAUAUGUCGUCGAUUUGUUGCUAUCCUAGCAUUCUUUGAUCAAUAAGGAGGGAGGUGACAUUGGGAUUAAUAUUAGGUGUGAGUUUACGGCUCGUCCAAGUGAUCAGAUCGAGCUGAUCAAUUCAGCCGUGCAUGUUUAGGUCUUCUCGUAGAGGCUCGAUGUAUAAAUUGAUCAACUGAACGGUCCACAGUUUGAGACCAUGAUUUUGGUCUCUUUGGUCGCUUGUAAUUUGUAUGAUCUAUUAGUAUAUGACUAUAUGUAAGCUAGUUGUUACUUUGUAUCUUUUGGUAUGCAACUCUUUAAACUAGUCCUAUCAUUUUUUUUUUUUAAUAUUCAAAAUUUUAAAUGAUUGUAUAAUUUCUUGGAGGGUGACAAUGUAAGAUAUAUGUUCAGAAAUUAAGUGUUCAAGUAGCUUUUGCCUUUAAUUAAUAUAUUUGUUAAACUCUUUUAUCUUAGAAUUUGUUUGGCAUUAAUUAAGGGAUCCCCCUCUUUUAGAAAAAUAAUUUUAGUAGGGAGCUCUCGGAUUUGCUGUCUCCGAUUUGCUGUUUUAGUUUUGUCUCUAUCCAAAUAUUAUAAUUAUUUUCUCUUGAACUUUUAUUUUUAAAUUUUAGUGUCAGAAACAUACAACGAAUUCAUAAGUUAAGAUAAAAUUAAUACAUAGCAGCGAAUUAAGAGCUCCUUCCCUUCUCAUGUUUUAUCCGUCUUUCCAUAUUGGGCAAAAAGCAGCCAAAGCAUUUCAAUGACUAAUUUGGAGAAAAUAAAAGGAAAGGAAGAUCACCAAAGCACAAGAGUCUUUCCUUUUCUUUUUUCUCUUUUCCUUUUCUUAAUUUAGGAUUAUUUUAUGACCUCGGAAUCUUUGAAACGCAGUAAGGAGAUAGGUUUUUUUUUUUUUUUUUUUUUUUUUUUUUUGAGAGAGAGAGAGAGAGAUAGGUAUCCGUUUCUUUUAUUUCAUUUAGAAAUAAAUUUAGCUAGAAAUGUGAAUCAACAAAGAUUCAAAUUUGAGUCUUGGAUACCAACCACCAAGUCCUUUGGCACUUGCUCUAAGGAGAUGAGUUUUUAAGUUAGUAAAAAAACAUCUCUUGGAAAAGCAAAGCGUUUUCUACGCUUAAUUUGGAAUGAGAAAUGCUUAAAUUAAUCUACCCAGACUAAUAAUCGCUACAAUCUUUUAUUUAGACCUGUCUUAGGAGAGAUACAGCAAUAAAUUAAUAGAAGAAUUUUUUUUGGCUUUUUUUGCACUUAGAAGCAAAUUGAAAGAUAGAGAGGGCGGACAGAUCAGAAGAGGGGGGACGGACUGUGCGAGAAUUAAAAAGAGUACAUGACACGUAACCCCUAUGAGAACUCAGCAAAUCUAGACCGAUCUAGAGGGGGAAGGAGGCGGGGCGGGUGGCACGUGAGUCCGCUUAGCCCGGGUGAAAGGAUCGGGGAGAGGGGGAAUGGACAGCACGAGAAAAGGAGAACGCGACACGUAACCCCUUUGAGAACUAAACUUUUAAAUUUUUUUUUAGAUCUAUAGAUGUAUAUUUUACUGGUGGUUACAUACGGAUCACAUAGGAGCUGUAUGUUUGUCCAGUAGUGAAUUUCAGAUUGAAAAUAACUUUUACUAAAACUAAAGUUUGGGUGAAAAUAUUUUUCCACUAUUGUUUUUUGAUAGAAAGUUAGGCUUAAUUUGGUAUUACGGCCCAUCUAAUGUUAUUAGAUAAAAUAACAUUGGGGUAAAAAGUAAAAACAUAUAGAGAUAUGUUUCUGCGUUCUCCUAUGGAAUCGAAGAAAUUAUAUAUCGUAACCAACUUAUCGCGAUAUACGGAACGUAAUACUAUGUACGGAAACAAACAUCGUAUUUUUUCAAUAUACUUUCUGACCGUACGCAAACACAAUUUUCCUGCAAUUCCAAACGAAGCCUUAGUGAUUUUGAAACUAUAAAUAUUCUUUUUUUAAUUUACAUAAUUGAUAGAAAGUUAGUGAUUUUGAAACUAUAAAUAUAUUUUUUUUGUUUAUUUUAUGUAAGAAUAUAUAAAACUUAUUCCAAUUACCCCUAUUUUAAUCUGACUAUUUAACCUUCAAAAAUUUUAAUUUUGCUACAUAUUUUUUUAAUUUAUUUGAUUUAAGCCGGUUAAUAACUUUAACUUUAAAAUUUGAGUAUAUUGUUUAUCUUUACAUAUUCAAUCUAUAUAUUUUAUGCAAAUUCAUAUAAAUAUAAAUUUAUUAAAGUAACAAUGAUCUUAAUUUUUGUAUUAAAAAAAUCUUCAAAUAACUUAAAUCAAACAAAUUGAAAAGCUCGCUACUAAAAUUGAAAGUUUGAAAGGUUUGAUAGCCAAAUCACAAUGAUCUAUAAUUCAUGUAUGUUAUAUAUAAUUUUGCUUUUAUUUUAUUAGAAAAAUUCAUACUAGCAUAUAAAAAGGCGAAAACUUUAUAACAGUAAAUUAUUAUUAUUUUUCUAUAUUUUUCUCUUCCGCGAUUUACUUUAGCACUACCCACGGCGAAGUAAGUUCAACGUCUUGCAUAAGUGGAGUUACAGACAAACUUAAUUUUAUGGCAAACCAAUAACGAAAAUGGGCAUUUACGGUCAAAAACAAUUUCACAUUUUUGUUGAAACUGUGUUUGGUUAAGUUGAGUAUUUACGGCCAAAAAUAACUUCACAUUUUAUGAGAAUGGAAAAUUAACAAAAAUUAAAUUCACCUUUUUAUAAUAAAUUAUUUUUACUAAAUUAUAUUUUAUAUUAAAUUCAACCACCACCUUUUUUUCGUUUUCCUCCACUAUCUCAUAAGAAACGUACUAAACCCAUUUGUGGCCCAUAAAAUGUGGCCCAACUCAAAUUUUGUAGCAUAUGAAUUUCAUACCAAAGUGGCCCAUUAGAAGCCUAAGUUUUGGAGAAAGAUAUUUACAUCUGGGCCUGGGCCCAUCACACCGCGCACCCGAAUCUUACAGCGCACGACUCGAAAGAUUUCCCAAACCAUAGUCAACGAGUCAACCGCUUAAGCCACCCAAAAAUCCAAAAGAUGCAUUUGUAAUGAAAUAAUAUAUAAAAUAAUAAAUAAAUAUUUUAUUUUUUUAAAUAAUUUAAUAUUUAAAAUAAAGAGUCAAAAGUAGUAAUUUUGCUUUUCCAAAGUGACAUUUUUUAUUUUCCAAAUUGUGAGGAAUAAAAUGAAAAGUAUGGAGCGUAGAAUGAGCGGAAAUAAUAGAUGAGAAUGAGUAGUAAAGUGCCGUGCGGAGAAUAAGACAAAAAAAAUAAAUAACUGAAAUGAUAUAUUCCAAUUAAAAUAUAUUAUUUUUGUCAAAUUUAAUUGUGUUUGGCCUGUUAUUUUAUUAUUAAGACUUAACAUAUAGAAAUAUAUUUCUGUAUUUUCUGGUGAAAUUUUAAAAAAUUUAUCAUAACCGACUCAUCGUAAUAUGCAUAACAUAAUAUUACGUACGGAAACAAACAGAUAUUUUACCACCGUACAUUCUCACCGCACGUAAUGUAAUUUUAUCGCAAUUUCAAACGAAAUCUAAGCACAGUCAAAAAUAAAUUGUAUAGACAUUCUUCAUUUAUGGUAUCUUUUGAAAUAGCCGCAUAAACUUUUUUUGUUUCUUUGACGUCGGGUUUUCACAUUUUAAAUAAGUAAAAAAAAAUUAUCAAACUAUUUAGUGAUGUAAAUUUAAAUUAUUAAUAUAUAUUUUUUUACUAACAAGAGUAGCUGAAUGAAUAAGUUAGAAAUCAAAAAAGUGUCUAAAAGAAGAAAAAAAAAAUUAAGUUGAAGACAGUAUUUGACACUUUCUUAUAGUUGAGGGGGUCUUCUUACAUUUUUACCAAAACCUAAAUCCCAUUCGGUGUCCAUUCGAAACCCUCGUUCCCGCCCAUUCUCCCUCUCCCUCCCUCCCCCUUCUUCUUCUUCUUCUUCUUCCUCCAAACCCUCCUCCGUUCUCCCCUACAAAACCCCCAAUUUGAGAGACCGUUACCGCAUCGGGAAGAAGCUGGGGCAGGGCCAGUUCGGGACGACGUACCUCUGCGUCGACAAAUCCGAUGGCGCCGAGUACGCGUGCAAAUCCAUCCCCAAGCGCAAGCUCCUGUGCCGCGAGGACUACGAGGACGUGUGGCGCGAGAUCCAAAUCAUGCACCAUUUGUCCGAGCACCCCAACGUGGUGCGCAUCAGGGGCGCCUACGAGGACGCCCUGUUCGUGCACCUCGUCAUGGAGCUGUGCGCCGGUGGGGAGCUCUUCGACCGGAUCAUACAGAAGGGCCACUACAGCGAGCGCAAGGCGGCGCAUCUCAUCCGCACCANCAGAGUGGGUGGCGGAGCUUCUCGGUGUUUAUGGGCUUUUGCUCGAGUGCUUGGCGUGCAUCGGCCCGUGCCUCGCGGGGAAGCCCUACUCGGUGCACCUCCAGAGGGGACAGUUCGUUUGCUGCUUGGAAGGUCAGGGAAGGUAUGCAGAGGCCGAGGAGGAGGCGCUAUCUCUUCUUGAGAGCCUUCGAUCGGCGCUGAUCCCAGCUGCUUCAGCACCGAGGUCGCAGAAGGGGAGAAGCGCCGACGCCAGAUGCCUAUUGCCUGAUCCGAAGCUCGCAGGUUGUGAUGAUCCAGAGGUCACAAUUUUGGCCAUCCAGAUUAUCAUCAGCCUUGCUAACUGUUCUUCUAAAUACAAAACAAAGGAUGGAGCUGCUUUUGAGAGGAUCUUGGCCCUUGUUGAGCAAGUUCAGCCAUGGCUCCCGUAAGUGAAUGAUCUGGGCUGAUUCCGACACAUGGACCCUAAAAUUUCAGCACUGAUGUUAAUUUUGUCCAUAUAUGCAGGUUUCUGGAUCCUGAGUCGCUGAAGAAAUAUCAUUGGUUACUUGUGAAUGCCUUGUACAGAUGUUCAAAUUUCCUGGUUGUAGAAUGUAUGUCUUUUGACACGGAUUUGGUACAGCGGUUCUGUAUGUUCAUGUUGAGAGAGUGUGCGAAGCCCUCUUCAAUCGACCGUUUUCCGAUAGUUAGUACACUAGCUAAAUUUUUGUUUUUGUAAAGUUAUUCUAAGUAAAUAAAUUGGAUGGGAUGUAAGUCUUUGGCAUGUGAAUUGCAGAUUGCUCGCAAAAUUAGUUCUUCCAUCGACUUGCAUUGGGAAGGCAGAUCCUGUCUUAUGUUCGAUAUACUAAAUUUGGCCCUUGAGUCAAUAAAAUGUGGCUGCAAGGUAAUUUCCAUUUUGAAUAUAGUUGCUGACACUUUCAAUUUUCUUUGGUCAGUAAUUAUCACAACCUGAACUACAAAUUCUUCAUGCAUAACUUGAUUUUCGUGGCAAAAAAGAUGUUGGUAUUUACAAGUGUAUGAUAAAUUAUUGAUAUUAGUUGAGACAUGAAGGGCAUUUGAUGCAACACCUGUUUUUAUUUUCUAGUUUUGAUUUUGAAAUUCGUAAUGUGGUGAAGAAAGCUGAAAAUGAGUUUUGAAGCAUAGCAUGUUGACCGUAUGUGUUUGAUCUUACGAGACACCUAAUAAGUUCUGUUUUUUUCUUUUUGUUUUGUCUGUUGUGCAUAGUAGAAAUUGUGUCAUAUUAUUUGUCUUAAAGUGUCUGAGAUGUGUUGCUCCUGUAGGUGUGUUUUUUAUAUUUAAACUGACUCGCAGUUUUGUUUUCAUGCAUUUUGUGUAUGAGCAGGUUUGUGUGUCGAAAUCUGUAAAUGAGUUACUCGAUUUUGUAUUGUAUUCUGCUGACAGCCUCUGUGCUGCCAACAUGGAUGCCCUUACAGGUUUUUCGGAAUUAUUUUAUGAAAAAGGAGGUGAUUUCUUUGAGGUACAUUUAUAUUGGCGCUUUUAUAGAAAGUGAUACCUUGCCGUUUAUAAUCUCUUUCUGAUGAAUUGUUUAUUUUUCUUGUCAGGUUUCACCUCCUAUUGCCUCAAUUCUGAUUCUCUAUGCUACUGCCUUGUACUUCGUAUCUAAUAAUAUUCAAGUUAAGCAAGCCGGAGAUAAUUUUGAAUUAUCUUCUGAGGGUACUACAAAUACAACUUUGCUUGACAAUGUAGAAAAUCUUCAGAAGUUGACUGAUUCACUGGGCAGUUUAGCAAGAUAUUUUCACGUCGCUAGCGACAGGACUGAUAUUGCUUUUGGUGAUCCAUUAGAGGCACAGAAUGAAUCAACCAUGCUUCUGAAGUCCAAUAUCCACACAGAGUGUAAAUACUUGCAUGGAAGUGCUUCUUUUAUCUCGUAUUUAGAUGCUUUAGAGUUUUUAUGCAAGAUAUUAUAUCAAUAUGCAAACACAGCCUGGAAAUACUUGUCCGAGAAGAAAAUGAUCUGUCAUUUUGUGAAGAUAGACCAUGUUUUGAAUGCAUUACAUCUGUUCUGUGAUUCGAUGAUCCUUGCUUUCAGGUGAGCCUGUAUCAUAGACCGUUGUUUGCUGCAACUACUGAAUUCUGAAAUUCUUUAAACAAGUGCCAGAACAAGACUUACGAGUUUCAAUGUCUGUUUCCCUAAUUGUAUAGAAGCAUCAAGACAUCUGAAAAGGAUAAAGAGAGGCUACAGGAAAGACGUGGAACAUUACUUGAAGUGGCCAUUUCAGCAUUCAGAAUCUCUUUUCUCACCACUGGAAACUAUCAGGUUUAACCUUGUAUAAUCGGUCUUGUACUUUGGUUAUUGUGGUAUUACAAAGAAGAUUGUUUUUAACUUUGUUUUGAGCAAAACUGCUGUGACUUAUUUUUUUUCUGGCUAAUUUAUUCUGUUUUCGUAGUUCAGAAGAGUCUGUCCUCCAUUAAUUACGCCAUAUCAAGUGAAUGGAUUAAACCUCAGGAGCUGAGAUUUCUUAUUUCAGCACUCAAUAAUAUUGGGGCUUCGUUGUACAAUAUUGGGCAUUUCAAACAGGUAUAUAUGUUGUUAGUGUUGAUCAACUUUGUUGAACCUUGGAUCCCUAUUUUUCUGUGUUCCUUAGAUUUCUGUUUGACAUUAUUGUUGACACUGUUGCAGUAUUGUCAUGAAAUUUUCUCUUUAUUUAUAUGCAACUUUAAGGCACCUAAUAUAUUUGGUCAGGAUUUCUAAGUAGCAAGAGACAAGGUAAACAUGCCUUGAAACUAGCUCCAUGUCAGCUACAUCGAGUAGUGCUUAAUUACCAGAUAGGGUACGGUGGCGAAUGGCGAUGCAUUAAUAAUGGCUAGGUAAAUGACUAUUUAAAACGUUGUGAUCUUAUUCUGAGAAAAUGCUGGAUAUACUGUUAACAUAUUUUUCAAUAUUUCUGAGUUCUUCCUAUGUUGUAUGCAAUGAUCUUAUUCCAGAUUUGGCUUGUGUUAGUUUAUUGUUGUCAAUCGAUUGGAGGGAAUGAUUCAACUGAACGGUGGUAUGCAAUGAUCUUCUACCAGAUUUGGCUAUUGUUGGAUUGUAUAAUUUGAGUGACAAAUUAAGUAAAACUCUUAUCUUUGCAAAUUCUGCCUUUUUUGCCUCUAAUUUUGUGUUCUUUUGUAGCCAAUGGGCAACAAGAUAAAACUCAUACAUAAUCAUGUGGUUGUAAGAAGAUGGUUUUGGUUUUUCUUCUACUUCUUUUAGUUGAUUGUGAUAGAAAUGACCUGUUUUGCAUUUGUGAAAUCUGGCCUGCUUAAUCAUUUGAGCUCUCUAUCUGCAAAAUUUUGCAUGUUUUAUGUUUUAGGUGGCAGUAAUGUUAUCUAAUUGCCAUUGUCAUUUCAUUCAGGUACCAAUAGUAUUGCAGUUGUGUUGUCAAGCAAUAUGGGCAAAUGUCAAUCUAGUCUGCAGAAGAUACUCGGACAAGCUGCGGGGGUUUAAUGUUGAUUGUAUAUCUAAGGAUUCGGUAAAGGAUGUCAUUAAUGAUGCAUUCACAAGGAUUGCAACAAUAGUUGAUACUCUACACAGAUGUGGUGCCACCGACACGAAUGAAACUGUUGUAAAAAGCUUAUUUCAACUGUCAGCCACUGAAGGCAUAUUUGAAAAUCUAAAUGGCUCUUUGGUCUUGGUUAAACAAUGGGUUAAGGUACUAAUCUAAAAAUAAUGAAAUUUAUUUGAUGUACAUGGAAGGUCUUUAUUCUACCUAAUCUUUCUUGAAACUGCAGAUAAUGUGUAAAGAUUUUGAAGGUGUUGACAUGGUAGAUAAUGCUGAAGUUCUCUACUCCUCACUAUUGAGAUACUGUCCAAAAUGCCCAAAGAAGAUUGCAGGCAAGAUUCUUGAGCAGGUUCGAUCUCUUCUCAUCAAAUUUCAUGGCAGUUACUAUCAAUUACUCCUUUUUUUCAUAGAUAUAAUGUUGUAUGAAAUUGUCUUAAUUUUUGCAGGAGCUUCUUGCAUAUGACAUGAUGGAAGUUCGAAACCCAGUUCUUUGUAAACAGAUGAAACUAAAAGUUGUGGAUAUUCUCUUAAAUGUUAUGUAUGUGUCAAGAGAUUGUUAUUUGGGAAGAUCAAGGGUACUUGUUAGAAAGGCGAAAGUACUUCGAGCUUGCGGAAUAGAGAGCAUAAAUGGCUCUCUGAAAUGUCUCUCUGAAGCCAUUUGUUUACUUGUAAGCUUGUAAUUUGUUUACCUUCAAGAUGUUGCUUAUCUUCCUUUUUCUUCUAUGUGGCAUAACCUUGGUAACAAAGUUAGAUAGUUGACAUAUAGUUCUGAUGUAACAGAAAGACAUAUCAUUAGAUUCUUCUGGAGGUAAUGCUACUGUACAUCAUCAGUUGGCCAUCGCAUACUGCUUGCAUGCACAAUGUGCCCAGGAAGCCAAUCUCGACUGUAAGGUAGCAUGUGAAGGGCUAUUAUAUAUGAGGUUAAGAAGAUAUUUUGAUCCUUAGCUGUUGUGUAGGAAUAAGAAAACUUUCAGAUUUGGGCAUUCUUUCAAUAUUUCUGAAAUUUUUGGUUGUGAAACAGGUUAUCCUGCAAGAUGUUCAAGCCGCAUUAAAUUUGUGGCUAAGCAUUGACAUCCAGGAUUUUUGUUGUAUAGAUGGAAAUUUUGAAAUGACAGCUGAAAAUAUGACACCGUUAUUGUGUUCCAUAGCUGAUUUGUUAGCCAUGAAGGUGAGACUUGCAGACCACGCAACUGGUAAACUCUGUCUAUGUAGUAUACACGGUAGUGUAGUGCCUAUGCGAUGUAAUAUACUUACUUUGCGUGCAUCACCCAGGGAUGCUUGGAGUUUCAGUUUGACAUCUGCAAGCUACUGAUCAUGAUAUGGAAUCGCGCGGAUAUUGCUCUUGAAAGAUUUUUUGCCUUGCUAUGGAAUGAUAGGCGUCUUAAUCAUUCGUUUUGUACCAUUCCAAUGGAUGGACAGUUCAUUUUGAAUAUGUCAAAACACUUCGGUGUUAAUGCUAGCUCUGUUGAUUAUUGGAUUAGUUGUGUAAAAGGUAAUCAGGCUUCACUAUGUAUGUUUCAUCAGAAGGUGUCACUGACUGAUUCAGUUUUUCCUGAAUUAAGUGAUCAUGGUUUUCAAACGUCAUUUGCUCAUAAAGUCAGUGCUGAUGAAGUUAAAAGGGUUGCAUCUUCUCUUGUUUCUGCUGUAAGUUCUGUUUGAAAAAUCAAAGGAAAAUUCGUAGCCCUUGAUCUCAACAAUGUCAGAAUUUUCACAUUUUAAUCCUCCUGUUUUGGAUGUUGUAGGUUCCUUUGUCAAGUCAAUCAACUUUCCUUGCUGGAUAUCUGUAUUAUGAUUUGGCUGAAAGGCUUCUGUUAAAGGGAAGAUAUUUUGAGGUAAGAUACUAUUACACUCCAAAUGAUAUUACUCAUGCAGCUAGGAAUAAACUUCCCUUUGGAUGAAUUGCAUUUUAAGCGUUCCAUCAAUUAUGACUACAGAUCACUGUCAGAAGUUAGCCAUUAAAACAAAUAUCUUUUUCGUGAAACGAAAGAACCAACUACGACUUGCAUGUAAAAUGCUAGUAUCAAUUGAUUCUGGUAUUCCUGCCAAGCUGAUUCUUUGCUCCAAACUAUUAUCCAAACCAAGCUGCACACCGUAAUUAUUGUUUUUGGAAUAUCAAGUUAUACUUUGCAGAAUAGUUAUGGUUGUUCAUUAUUAAUUAUGGUUAUUAUGGAAUAUUUUUAUUGUUUAGGCUCUUUGCCUUUCAAGAGAGGCUCUUCAGUUGCGAAAGAGACUUCUAAAAAGGAAGUUCAUCUACUACUUUAGGCGGCAGCAGCAGCAGCAGCAACCACAACAGCCUGUAAGUGCUGAAAAAGAAAAUCAGACAACACCAGACCUUGUUCACCUUGAAGCGAUGGAAUCAGUUGCAACUGAAACUUGGCCAGAUCAUUGUAGGUCCGGAAACAUAGAGGACUCCUUCCUUACUCCAUGGGCUGUUCUUAGAUGCUACCUUGAAAGCAUUUUGCAGGUUUAUAUUUGUAUUUUCUUGAAUAAAAUAAGUACAAGUCGUUGAUAAUUCAUUAUGCCUGAUAUCUUAAUACUUAGGUGGGGAUUAUUCAUGAAUCAACUGGUGAUGCUGCUGAAGCUGAAAUACUUUUCCGGACAGGAAAAGAGUUGUCCCAUCAGCAAAGUCUACCUACUUUUGGGAUUGCUUUUUCAUCAUUAUUAGGUAAAUUCUCUAAAUGCGUAUUCCUACCUUUCUCUCAUUUAGUCAAUUUUGCAUUUCUUUUUGUCCUAUAUGUAUUAGCACUAAACUAAUCUUGAUGCUGUCUCAGGUCAAUUGUACCGUAAGAAACACUUAUGGGAGUUAGCAGAAAGUGAGCUCAGUAAUGCUAAAAAGCUUCUAGCAGAAUAUGAUACGAUUAUUUCCUGCAAGAACUGUAAGCUGACCCUUGAGGUUGCAAUUCAUAUCCAAACUGGAGAUUUAUCUAGAAACCUCUUUGAGAAAGGAAUUAAAUCUGUCAGUGGCCUAUCAAAUGCUAUAAGCAUGUAUAGAUCAGCUCUAGAGAAAAUUAGUAAUGCUGAAUUACAACGCCCUUGUAACUUCUGGGAUACAUCUGAACUCAACACUCUCUUGGUUAACACAGAUCAUGCUGUAGAAGCCAAAGGCGGAGCUCGACAAUGUGGUACAGCACCCUCAUUCAUUAAGGAAGUAAGGUCAUGUAUAUGCAGCAUCUGUCUUUCUUUACACCAGCGUUCCAGUGUCGACCGUCCUAGAUGUUUGCAGGCAGAGUAUAACAAACAAUCCUUCUCGAAUCCUGGAGCUGGAGAGUCGCUUGUGAAUAGUAAAGCCAAAAAAAUGUCAAGAAAUGCAUCAAAGGGUAUAUUGAAGGUGGAAAAAGCAGUGGCUGAAGCAAAAACAAUAAGAACUCGUUCUCGUAAACUGCUUGAACACAAAAAACAUGAAAAUGUUGCAGGUGAAGUGGAUUGUAAUUAUGACACAACUGUGAGUCAUGACCUCUGUGCUGAUUCUCUUAGUGCUAAAUGUUUAGAGAAGAAACUAAACACAAGCCGCCUAGAGGAUGAAUGCAAUAGAGAUGAUGAAUGUGACAAAGUAGGAUGUUGGAGCUGUUUUCUUAUUAAAGCACUAAAUGCCGGGCCUUUGGAAACCAUUUUGUUUCUGAAAUGGGAAUGCCAUCGGAGGCGUAUUCUUCUGAAACUGCUAUUAAAAAUAGGUAUUUAUCUUUCAUCUAGAAAUUCCCAUUAGAAUUAUAUUGUCAUAAUGAUUUAGUUCACUCUGCUGCUGCCAAAUAUCUGAAAGGCUUCUGCUUAUCCAUUCAGAUACUUAAAUUGUUUAUUUCUUGUAUAGCAAGAUCCUUGGGGGCUCAUGGUGGAAAGCAUGGUGCACAUGAAGUACAUGAUGUAUAUUGGCAAUCUAUUUCUCUGUUGUUCUACAGAUCCAUUUCUUGCAACUACUCUGAACUUAUGGGGCCUCGCUUAAUUGAGCUAAUUGCGGGCGAGAAUUUAGGCGAUACUCUUUCUAUUGAGCAUGCAGAGAUACUGUAUAACAUGAGCCUCUUUUCUCUAAAGGGAUGCCUUUCAGAGCAACCUAGGUGAUUAUGUUUCUUUUGUUGUUACUGAAUGUGCUCUGGCUUGUUUUGACUGUAAAAGUAUCACUUUCUAACAAUAGCACCUACUUAUGUUAAUAUACUUAUUCAAUUCACAUUUUCCAUGCACAGGGGCACAUGCUGCUGCCUUUCUAAUAUACAAAUGUCUGAUGUUGUUCCUUGGUUGUUGAGAGCAUUCAUAAUUUCCCAACAGUUCCCCUCACUUCUUCAGAAGGUCUUGAACGCAUUCUACACCUUUUAUUCCGUGCUUAGACAUUGGUAACUGGUUGCAUUGAUGCUGACAGAUACUCUUAGCUUUUUGAAAUAAUUGAAUGAGGCAGCAAGUUUUCAGCCUCCUCUAGUAUUUUUUUUUUUUUUUAUCAGUUAUAUGGAGUUAAGAGUGUGAGUUAAGGUCCAAAUUGUCCUCGUGCAGGUUUGCAGGCUUCUUGCUUCCAUAUAUUUGCUUUCAACAUUGGAUUACUCUACUUCUUUACCCUUGUAUUCUGAGAAAUCCCUCUCUUUGAAUCAUUGGGCUGCGUACUUCCAUCAAGCGUCUCUCGGUACUUUUCUGCAUCACCAUUACUUUUCUAGUUCCAGAGGGGUCUUCAACAAUAAAGCUACUGAGGUUUGUUUCUGUGUCGCCACUUCAGCCCAUUUGUUUGAAAUGUAUUAUUGUUUAUAAUUGUGAAAUUACGGUAGUUGUCUAGUGGGUACUGGUUUUUGUUCAUUCAAUUUCGUACUCAAAAUAGUGCACUAAUUUAAUUUGCCUUUCAUAUUGGUUAUUGUUAUCUGUAUUUUUUUUUACCUUCUCUCUCUUUGUUGGCAUGUUUUUCUAUUCCCCCUUUUUUUUUUUUUUUCAAUUUUACAUUUUUCUCUCUUUUUUCAUAUUUGUUAAUGUUAUCUGAAAAUGUUUUUUGACUGACUGCUCAAUCAUCAAUUUGGUAUCUUAGAUGUAGUUUUUAGUCCUUUGGUCACCAGAGUGCUGUAAAAUUAGCUUCUUUUCUCUCUCUCUCUCUCUCUCUCUCUCUCUCUCUAGCCUGCGCUUGAAAUUCCCUAAUUUUAUGUUUUUUUUUGCCCCUCGUUUUAUCAUUUCCUCUUCUAUGUUUCAGGACUGCCCUCGUAAUAUCAUGGCUGACACAGACAGCAGAACUUUCAAGUUUGUGAGGUUAAUUUCCUAUCUUACCUAGUAGCAAAUUUAGUGCUCGAAUAUUUUUGAUUUAGCAUAAUUGCAGUGCUAUCUUUCCAAUGCAGAUGUUCAGUAGAGAAACUCGAACAUCUCGAAGAGCAUAUAACUGACUUUUUUAGGAGCCUCCCGAAAGUUCCUAUCAUUUGCAUCAGCAUGCUUGGAGAUGAUUAUGUUAAUCUCCUAGGAGAAACUCUCCUUCUCCCUUCGUUCUUUCCGGCUUGGCUUUUGCUGUCAAGAUUGGAUUCAACUAGCCAACCAAUCAAUAUGCUUCUGCCUGUAGACACAAUUUCAGUAGGUAAACCGACUUCUUGCGAAGCAAAUAUAUGGUCAGUGAAAAAAAAAUACUAUGUAGUUUCAGCAUUCUAUUUCUUACUAUAGUGUCCUCUUGUCAGAGCUGCAAAUUGAAGAUGCUAUUUCUGGCAAAGAAUUCAUCAAUACAAGCAUGGUCUCUGUUAAGAGCUGGAAGUGCCCUUGGAGUUAUACUGUUCUGGAUUAUGUAGCCCCCUCUUUUAAACAGCUAUUGGAAGAGAACUUUGUAUCUCUAUCUAGCACAGCUCUUUCUCCAACUGAUGGACAAUUGGACCUCGUCAAGUGGUGGUCACAGAGAACCAAGCUCAAUAAUUGUCUAGAUAAGUUGUUGAAGUGAGUGCUUCUGGAUUUUAGUAGUUGCUGUAGAAAUUUCCUCAUGUUAUUCCAUUUGUCUUUUUUUGGUUUUAUUUGGUUUAAGAACAUUGUGAGAAAGCAUGUAGAUGAACUAAACAAUUAAGACGUGAGGUUUUAUCGGUGUAGGUUUUGUUGGUGCUGUAUGUUCUAAUCUUGAGUUACUCUUCAUUUCAAUUGCAAAGUUAACAACAUUUGUUGUGUUAUUGAGAUGAUAGAAUUUGUUUUUUGUACUACUUGAAUUCAAUUAUCUUUUCCUCAUGCAGAAUCAUGGAGGAAUCAUGGUUGGGACCUUGGGGUUGCUUGUUUUUGGGUGACCAUUCAGCUCAUCAACAGAUGGACAUGAUGGUAUUCAAGUUAAUCGAUUAUCUAAAAUCUCAAUUCGAGUUUGAAGUUAAUCAUAGUCUUGUGAAAGCUAUCCUAUGUGGUGCCAAGUCAGUAGCAGAUGCGGAAGCAUGCAUUUCUCAACUUGUAUUAUAUAAAGGCUACUUUGGUAGGGGAGCAUGUUGUGGGGAGGAAAGACUUAGGGCUUUCUCUGCAGCUUGCCAGAUAGAAGCCGAUUUGUUAGACUCAAUACUUAAGUUACUCAAAGAAGCAAUCAACGGGCAGGUAGUACCAAUAGAUAGAGAACCAGUGAUUCUUGUACUGGAUACUGAUGUGCAGGUGAGCCAUUCAAAGUUCUUAUCUUCCGAAGGCAUUAUUUGUCUGUUGUAAAAUUUUCUUUACAUGUGACUUAUUUUGCUUUCCUUCCUGGUGUUUCUUUUUUUUUCCUGAUUGUUUGUUCUUGAGAAAAAGCAUAAAACCCUAAAAUUGCUGACAAACAGUGAAGUUUCAUAAGUGUUAUAUAUAGGAAUAAUAAGAUUUUUCCUCUAGUGGAAUUGACUGAGCAUUUUACUACAAUAAGUUUGCAUAGAACAGUUCAUGAUAAUGUGGCCUUUCUACGUUUCUGAACAUAAUUAGAAAAUUGUUCUGUCUUAGACCUACUCCGCUCUUUACCAUCUCUUACAACAGACAGAAAACUUUCACACUCAGGAACCUACUCUUGUACAUUACAAGUCUCAUCUUUUAUUGCUAUAUGGAAAGCUAAUUGUGUUGUGACUUGCUGCAGAUGCUCCCCUGGGAGAAUUUACCAUUGCUAAGGGGUCAAGAGAUCUAUCGCAUGCCAUCAGUAGGAAGUAUUCUUUUGGGAUUCAAUAGAAACCAGCACCUUCAUAAAGAGAGGGAUGCAAUGGGUGCUUACUUUCCUGUUGUUGACCCUUUCAAUGCUUACUACUUGUUGAACCCUAGUGGGGAUCUCAGCAGCACACAAGUGGAAUUUGAGAAGCUGUUCAAAGAUCACAACUGGGAGGUAAAUUUACUCUUAUUUUGUGCAAAUAACAUAAUAAUAAUUGUACAUGUGAUAAGAAAAUUGUUUAUGACUGGCAGGUUCUUUUUUUACUUGCCACCCUCCCACGUAAAUCUGUGGUUAAUAAGUUGUUAUGUAAUCUUUGCAUUAGUUGAUUAGUCAUGUUGCUGUUUGCUUCCAAAAUGAAGCCUAAAUUGUAGCAUUAUAGUGGGUUUGUAAUAGAAGUAUUGUCUUUCUCUUUGGAAAUUUUGUCAUGCAAAGUUUAUGCAGGGGAAAGCUGGAAAUGCUCCAACAACUGAAGAGUUGAUUUUGGCUUUGCGGAAUCAUGACCUUUUCCUUUACUUCGGUCAUGGAAGUGGUAUGUCAUUGGAGAUACAAACUCUCUGUUUUCCAUUAUUUCAGAUAUUGGUGUUAUUUUUGCUAAGAUAUACAACUAAUCUGAAAUUUUUGAUUCAUUAAAUAUGAUGCAGGAAUUCAAUACAUUCCAGGAAAAGAAAUUGAAAAAUUGGACCAAUGUGCAGCUACUCUCCUUAUGGGUUGUAGUAGCGGAACACUCUUCUGCAAAGGGUGCUAUGCUCCUCAAGGUGUCCCUUUGUCCUAUUUAUUUGCUGGAUCUCCUGCUAUCGUCGCAAACUUAUGGGAUGUUUCCGAUAAAGAUAUUGACCGAUUUGGUAAAGCCAUCCUUAAUUCAUGGCUGAAUGACGAAGCAGUAGCUGUUAGCGACUGUUCGAGGUGCUCUGAAUUAGUGAAAGAAUUCGGAUGCAUGAAGAUUGGAGAAGAUAACGAUAAUGCUAGAAAGACAAGAAGGAAAGGGUAUAGAGGGAAGAAGUCUCAGCAAUCACGUGAGAGCAAUAAAUGCCACACUUGUGGGAGAAAGAGGAUAGCUUCAUAUAUGAGCCGGGCACGAGAGGCUUGCAAGCUCCCAUUGUUAAUUGGGGCAUCUCCUGUUUGUUAUGGGGUGCCGACUUUCGUGAGGAAAAAAUCAGAAUGAUUAGCUGCUUUACGGGUAGAUUUUCUUUUUGUUCCUGCAUUUCUCCUAGACUUUCCCUGCUGGUUCAGUUGCUCAUUCAUGAUGAAGCAAUACAGAUAUACCGAUUUACACCAUUCUUAUGACAUCCAAUUCGUACUCAGGAACAUUGCUCAAAUGCUUGUAUUAAGUGAUAUAUAAGAAAGAUAUUGGGAUUCUGAUGUACAAGCUCUUGCAAGUUCCUGAAUUGGACUUUACAUUUUGUUCUAGUUGUGCAUUCGGUUGAAAAACAUCAGCAAUUGUAUUCAUCCUUGUAUGCGAAUUGGAAAAAAAAAAAUAAGUUAAUAUAUUCGAAAUGGUUAUAGUUUGGAGUCCUGUGAUUAGCUUUUGUAUUUAUGUUUGCCCAGGAAUGCAGAUUGUGGACUCGUUUACUUUAAGCUAUCUAGCAAGUCUUAUAUUCUCUCUCUCUAUCUCUCUCUCUCUCUCUCUCUCUGGAUGUGGGAAUUUGCUCACUGAAUUUGCCGUACCUUUUCUGUGUUUCUUUGUAACUCCUUUAUAUCUGCAGAAUUUGUGGAAGACGGCAAUUUCCUUCUGCUGGAAUCAUUUUUUCUUAUUUAUGUCAAGCUAUCUGCUUUCGAGUUAUUACACCUUCCCUCUGAAUUGCAUCAUCGGCAUUCAAUAAUCUUCUAUUAGUUAGAUGUCUUGCAUGCUGGAAGCUCUAGCUGUCUUCGAUAACGUGUUGAUUAUAUUAUGUUAAAAGUGUUCUCAUGGCUGUGGUCGUUAACCAUACAGCUGAUUAUUAGCCAAGUUAUGCAUGACCUGUUCAUCGUAACAGGCAUAGUUAAAAUUUGUCAAUUUUUAUUCUGUUAUUGGAACCCACGUAUAAGGUACGAUUUGUUCGUCAGCUGCCUAUUAGACCUGUAAUUCUUGUGUGGACUGGGUAAAUGAGGCCAAGUCACUAAUGCUAGUUCAUUUCCAUAGUAAAAGUCAAUAAAACUGGUUUCAAACAAUCCCCAAGAUCAUGUUAAGGACUGACGAUAAACUAUAAGAAAAAAAAUUGAAAUGAUUGGUGAGUUAAGCUUCGACAUGGCCUAGUAUAUACUUCUAAUUGCUUAAUAUUUCAAUUUCGAAGUCUCGUUCUAUUCAAAAGAAAUUGACUUUCUGUUAUCGACUCUAUUCAAAAGAAAUUGGAGUUUCUGUUAUUGACGGCAUGAUCUAUAGCGCAUGAAGUCCGUUCCUCCAUCUGCGCCCCUAAUACGACACUAAGACCAUUGUAAUGUGAUUUACAGAAGAACAUGUAAUUCAUGCUAGGUACCGUCGAAUGAACUCGCCAAUUUCAGUUUCGGAGAAUUCUUAACCACUUCCAUACUGUUUAAGUAGAUAUAGAAGCAGCAAUAUCGAAUGCAGGGAUAUCAAGGCACAGCAGGCCAAGAGAUAAUUCAAAAGCUGAGAACAAAAGGACCAAAAAUACAUGCCUGCAUCCAUCAGGCUCAGGUUUUGCGGUUCCUGACCUGCCAUGAAAUUGACGCACUCCACAAACAGAAGGAUUUGAUCAGCCACAAAAGUCGUAGCAUUUUUUUAAACCUAACAUAGCAGCACAUUUAGCAGGAAAACCAAGACUGUCAGAUGCAAAUCGCCAAUACAGCACUCACUUCGCGCCUCCAACAGUUUUUAAGUGCUAGUUAAUCUGAAUAAUUUUCUGAGAAAAACACAGAUCUCAAGUAUCAAGAUCUAACAUGACACUAAAGAGCAGUGUAGUGCAGUGCAAUAAAAAGUCCACACAACAAAAAGGAGCAGCAACAUGUGUGAAAUUUUCUUUUGGCAACUAUGAAACAAAAGAUGCAUUGAUAUAAACCAAUGAGCUCACAGAUAAAAUAAGACCUUUUAAUUCCAUUCUUUACCCAAUGACCACAAAUCAGUAAAUCAAUGGAGAAGCUUAUGAAUAUUUUUCAGUCAUCAGCUAUUAUUAAUCAGCUUGUAUUCCUCCCCCUACUAGCAAACAAGACCAAACCCCUGAAACUCAGCCUACAUGCAUGACCAACCUUCCCCUGCUCCUGCGACGCCGUCUCCUCCGCCUCUCCGAGCUCACAACACCCAUACCUCCCCCUCGUGCCAUAACCGGAUCAACCUCGUCAUCAUCAUCCGAUGGAUAAGCAGCAUUUAGAUCACCACUGCCACCACUUCCAUUAAUGGGAGCAUAACUGUUAUCCUCGUCUCUACUUUCAAUAGCACUAUUAUUAUUCUCCCUAUGAAGCCUCAUGAGUCUCGCACUCUCCCUAAAUAAAAAGUACAGGAUGCUCCUGCUAAUACCCCGACCCCCUCCUCGAAAGUCCCCGUUGGCAUCGCCAAUCUCCUCAUCACUCUCACCAUCGCUGUCACCCAUUUCAAUUACAUAAUCCCCAAAUACCACAGAUCUCGGCAUCGUUGACCUAAUUGUACUGAUCACAUCCUGCCUCUCCCUUUCAUGUUCCAGCGUCCUCCACUUCUGCUCAAGUACUGGAUCCACCUCUCUUGGCUUCGCAGAAGGGUGCUCGGACCUCACAUGCCUUUUAAGUUCCUUAUAAGUCCCCAUAUACGAGCAGCCAUCUUGCAUGCAAGUCCUCUUUUUAGUAUUAAGAUAUUCUCGAGCUCGCUCCACCACCGUCCAGCCUUUCACCUGGCCACGGCAUAAAGGGCAUGAAAGCUCCAUUACUUCGGACUUCUCACUCGGGGGCCAGGAAAGACUACUAUUGGCGUGUGAGUCCUCGUUGAGGGAUGUCUCUUUAGUGUAGGCCUUCUCAAACUGGUCGAGACAGUUGGAGUGGCGGUAACUGGUCCCACACAUAUACGGGCGGCAGCCCUUGUUGUGGGAUGAACAAAGUAGGAGGACAGCAUUGUGUGGGUACUCCAUACACACCGAGCAGGUGGCAUCUUCCCAGUCCUUUUUCUCCAAAGAGGCUAAUGGUGUUUUCUUUCGGCUGGCUUGUUUCUCGGCUUUCCUGCUAUAGGAAGGAAUGGGAUAGGGAGUCGGCCUGAGCUGGCGAGUUGACAGCCUCCGGCCCCGUGCACUUCUCGCCAUUUUCUCGGAGUAUCUGCCAAUAAUAAUUGCAAGGCCUAAGCGAUUUAAUUUUGCAGACAGCCAAAGCAAGGUAUAUUACAAAUGAUCAGAAAAGACACAUCCUACAGCUAGAAGAGCCAAUGUGAUUAAAAUUAUACGAGGGAGCCAAUGAGAAGCAUCCAUACUCUCUUGGGAGACGGUGGAAUUCAAAUAGAGUAGAAGUCAUUCAAGCUGAUAGAAACAAAACCUAAGAAUAUCUGCAUAACAUAUAACAUAUGGGCUGACCCAAAAAUUGAAAGGCAUGUAAAUACUGUCGAAAUUGGCCUCUACAGUAAUAUAACCUGGGCAUCUCUCAUUUAAACACCAAAUAUUCACCACAUAGAAAGUAGAAUUUAAGUAAAGAUAGGAGGUAGUACAAUGGAAAAAGGGUAUCCUGUUUUAACCUAUAGUUUACUCACAGAAAUUAUUUAAUCAUGUUACGGUGCAUAAUCUCUAGGCAUCUCUUAGCAUUUGUCACUAAAAGUCGCAUAAACUUAUGUUAUGAAAUAGGCUAACCACAAUUUAACAUAUACUAAUGCCAUAAAAUGGAAUAAGGUGCAAAAAUGAAACUCAUAAAAUCUAUGUUCAAGUUGUGGAUGGCAAUAAGAAACCCUGAAAAGAGGAUUAACCAUGGCUUUUGGUGUUUCUCUGUAGCAUUUCUACAACAUCGAACUAAUCAACUGGCCAAAAAUAACUGAAAAUAAAAGUUGAGUAAUACAACAGUGAAAAACAAGGGACAAUUUGAAUAUGAUGAUAGCUUUGAAAGUUUAGAACAAGAAUUCAUGGUUGGCAAGGUAGCCAGGUGGAUGCAGAGGUAACAGGACCCCCGAAUGCAAGGCAAUGAUUAGUGCAGUAAUAAGAAGCUUCUGAGAAGUAUAGAAUUCAGUGCUAGAAAACCAUCGACGAACAUGCAGAGUAAGUUUACUAACAAACAGAAACAUAACAUGCAGGUCAUCAAACCAUAAGUAUAAAGCUCUAUAGAGCACUUCUAAUAAAUGAUAUGCUAAAUUUGCUCCUCUCUCGUCCUAUACCCCUCACUAAUCUUCAAAUUUCCUACAAUUCCUUUACACUUUGCUCUUCAUCUCUCACUACUCAUCCAUUGAUCAACCAGCUCUGAGAUCUCUAGCAAUAUCCAGCAUGCAAGGAUGCAAAGCCCAGAGGAACACGAGGCAGAGAAAUAGGAAAAAAACCAACUUUACCUCCAGAGAUAGUAGAAGAGACGUAUCAAAUACACUUUUCACUAAGAAAAGCACAAAUGAACACCAGAUAGAUGCAGAACAAGAUGGUGUUCUCCCAGAAUAAAACAACCCACAGAUUGAACUAAAAUAAAAUCAAAAUCAAAUAAAAAGCAUCAUAAUCAAAGAACAACGAAAGAAAAGGGGAACCCUACAAUCACCGGCGAUCUCAGCAUCUCAACAUCGACUAGUGAGAUCUCUCACGUCUCCAAAAAGGGCACGGCGCAAAAAGAAAAAGUAGGGUUUUGAAAAAGAGAAAAAAAAAAAAAAAAAAAAACAAAAAGGCUUGGUUUCGACGCCACCGGUGGUCCCAGCUUCCCCAAUACAAGCACGAAGCAUCCGCGAUUCCCACAAAAGAGAUAAUCGUAGGGUUCGGAGCGAGAGGAGUACCUCGAAAUGGGGAGCGAAGCGAGGAGAGAGAGAGAGAGAGUGAGGGGGAGGGCCGCGCCUAGGGUUUCGCGGGAGAGGAGGGAGACGAUCGAUCGAUCGAUCGAUCGAUGGAGCUAGAGCGCUCGCUCCUCCGUAGGAGUCGCGAGAUACGGAGGGAGGAGGAGAAUGGGGGAGGAGAGAGAGAGAGAGAGAGAGAGAGAGGGGGAGUGGCGAUGAAUAGAGAAAUGGAUUUGGAUUCUCGAAACAGCGGCGAGAGAGAGAGAGAGAGAGAGAGAGAGGGGUCGUGGCUACGCUUGGGUUCGCAGUAAUCGGCGAGUGGAAUCUCGCGCCCGAGAGAGAGAGAGAGAGAGAGAGAGAGAGAGAGAGAGUUCGAGAAAUGGGUUGGUGCUUUUGGGAGAAUUUCUUUUUGCCCCCCCCUUUUUUUUUUUUCUGAGGAAAUAGAAAUUAAACUACUUUUUCAUUUUAUAAUGGAUAAAAUGAUACAAUAGUUUAUAGGAUUAAGGCUUUAUUUGGGAUUACGGUAAAAUUAUAUUACGUACGGUAAAAAAGUAUAUUAGAAAAAUACCUUAUUUAUUUUCUUACGUAAUAUCGCAUUCUGCAUAUCACGGUGAGUCGGUUAUGAUAUAUUUUAUACGAUUUCACGGGAGAACGCAGAAGCAUAUCUCUAUAUACUUUUACAGCAACUCUAUUUUAUCUAAUAGCGUCAGAUCGAUCUCAAUGCUAAACUAAAUCUUAAAAAAAGAGGCAAUUAUUUAUAUACCUCUAAAAAGUUUUUCACUUUCUGAUUUACCGUUUUUAGAAAGCUAAUAUUAUAAAUAUCUUUUUUACGUUUCAAGUUAUUUGAAAUAUACUACUAGAGUUAAAUUCUGUUAGUGAACGAUUAGCAAUAGCCGUUGUUUCUGUAAAAUUACUAUUUUGCCCUUUCUAAUAUACCGUUCUACCAUCACCAAUUUUUCUUAUUUGCUCUUAAGUUAGGAGUAAAAGAAGUAUUUUGAUUUUUUGUCUUUUCAAAUAUACCUCUCUAUAAUUACCAAUUUUUUUUAUUUGCUUCUAAGUUAAGAGUAAAAAAGGUAUUUUGAUUUUUUUUUUUUAACUCUGGCAGACAUUUUACUCACGUUUAAUCCGAAAUAACUUAAUAGAUAGUAACUAUAGGAGUAUUUUUAAAUAACGGAGAAACAUGUGAAAGAUAUAUUGGAAACAAAAAAUAAGUAGGGGCAAAUUAAAUAUUUUCAAAAUUUUGAAGGGUAUAUAAGUAAUUAUGCCUAUUAAAAAAUAUCUUAAGAAAGAUAUAUGAAAAUACUUCCGAUAAAUUAUAUUCACAAAACUUUAAACAAAUUUUUAAUUAAAAAAAUUGAUAAGAUUAGUAAAGNGUAGGGGCAAAUUAAAUAUUUUCAAAAUUUUGAAGGGUAUAUAAGUAAUUAUGCCUAUUAAAAAAUAUCUUAAGAAAGAUAUAUGAAAAUACUUCUAUAGUUAUAUUCUCAUAAGAUUUACAUCAAGUUUAGAAAUGCACAUAAAGGAUUGCUAAAAAAAUAUUUGGUUCCGCGGAGAGUAGAGUGAGAGAACAAGAUAGUGUGUUUACUUAAAAAAAAACUGAAAAGAAAAGAAAAGAAAAAAAAAAAACAGUUUGGAGGAAAUUUAUUUAUUUUUAUAUCUCUCCAAAUAAUAUAAUUGUAAUUGUAACUAAUUUGCUCAUGGUUUCAAUUGUAAUACUUGAAUUUAAAUGUAUCAAACAAAAUCCUUAUUUGGAUUUAUAUUCGAUUACUACUACAGUUUAGCCAUAAUUACAUACAAAUCAAACAACUCUAUCAGCCGUUUGGCUGAAUGUAAUCGUAAAUAUAAGGUACCUGUAAGUAUUUUAUUUUUAACUACAUGUAUUUUAUUUGGGUAAACAUAUUACAAGUUUUAUUUUUUAUUGGCUUAAUUAACCUGUAUAUAUAUGUAUAGAACUAGGUUGGAAUACUAUUAAUAGCACCAAAUUAUUGAUGCUAUUAGGUUUUCGACCUUUGGAUUAAGGAUUGUGCGGUUAGAAUGAUAGUAGUCUCCUAGGGUUGAGUGGGUGAUUGGUUGAAUAGUAUAAUCUAACGGAUGGAAAUGAUCAAAAGAAUAGAUCUAAUGACAGAAAACUUGGUAGUACCAAGUGUUUGGUAUUAUUAAUAGCAUUAUAGCUGGACUCUCUCUCUCUCUCUCUCUAUAUAUAUAUAUAGUUCGGCUAUGGUGCUUGUGAAAGCACGAAGUAUUUGGUGCUUAUAAAUUUUUUUACCGUUAGAUCUACGUUUUUUAUUAUUUUCAACUGUUAGAUUAUACUAUUCAACCAACCACCCACUCAAACCUAGGGGGCUCACAUCAUCUUAACCGCAUAUCUCUUAAUCUAAUGGCCAAAAAUCUAUAAGCACAAAUAACUUAGUACUUUUAAAAACUUAGGAGAUAUAUAUAUAUAUAUAUAUAUAUAUAAUUGAGCACGGCUAGAAUACUUGUAAAAGUAUCAUGGGGGUGAUACUUGUGUGUUUUUAGCCCUUGGAUGGAGAGAUGUGAGGUUGAGAUGAUGGUGGUAGGUGGUGGUAAGUGGUGGUAGGUGGAAUAGUGUUUGAUCCAAGGGCUAUUUGUAUUCAAAAAAUAGAUCCAAUGGCUAAAAACGUGAUAGCAAUAUGGGGAUGAUACUUGUAAAAGUAUCCUAGAUCAACUCUCUCUCUCUCUCUCUCUCUCUAUAUAUAUAUAUAUAGGGUCCGGCUACUAUCCUAUUAAUAGGAUUGGGACCCUUGUCCUAUCAAGUCGAUUUGAAUGAUCGGAAUUUCAAAUUGAUAAUUGGCACCGUUGAAGUUGAUCUACACAAUUAGAAAUAUUUAGAAACCAAAUUUUGUAUUAUUUAAAAAUCAUUAUCAAGUCCAUCUUAAGAGUUGAAAAAUGAACGGUCAUAAAUGAAUAACCUUCUUAAAAUAAGGUUAGACUUUCUCAGUUCGUAAUCAGAGUUAUCAAACAUUAUCUAAAUAGUAUAAAGAAUUUUCUAUCAAAAAUUCAAGCAAUUUGGAUUGCUCUACACCGUUAAACAAGCAAGCGGCUUCAUAUGACCGUAAAAAAUUGUCGAUUUACGACAUCUUUGAUUACCAUAUAAACCUAUACAAAAUUUUGAAUUUAAAUUUUUAAUAUUUCAAAAUACUCAGACAAACUUCAACGCUGCCGAUCAUCGAUUCGGAAUCAUGAUCAUCAAGAACAAAUUAGAUUAUGGACAAGUGCUUUCCUAUUCUAUUAAUGGAUCAGUAGCAAUUAGCUAUAUAUAUAUAAUAAUAAUAAUAAUAAUAAUAAUAUAAUAAUAAUAUGGCAUUUACAUUAUUUAAUCACAAAAUUAUGAUAGGCUACAUGUAUCGGAAGCACGGAGCCUUCCGUCGCUUCAGCCGUUUCGAGUUUGCGCAAACAUUUGACAGAUUGUCGAAUCGGCGCGCCAGUUAAUACUUGAUCUCAGUUUUGGAGUACUAGAAAACAUUAUUAUAGAAUGGUUUUUAGUUAAAUUAUUUUCGAUACCAUUUGCUACCUGUGAGACGAAUGAGCCAAAAUCAACGGCUGAAAAUAAAAUCUUUACAAAAUCCGAUUAAUAAUAUGACAUUAAAAUUUAUAAUCAAAGAUAUUGAUGUUGUUUUAUAUAGUAUAAAGAAUUUUCUAUCAAAAUUGUCCAUGAUUUGGAUAUUUCUACACGUGUUAAACUUCAACGGUCUCAUACGGCCAUUGAGAAUUUGUUGAUUUUGAGCCCAUUCGAUCAUCUAGGCACAAAUAGUAUCUGAAAAAUAAUAAAAUUUAUUUUUAGGUACUCAAAUACGUCUAGAUUCAAGUUAUAACGGAGUCGAUCGGACGAUUCGGAAAGUCGCAACAUCAAAACGAGCUGGAAAGCAAUUCAUUUGCCUAGUGAUCUGAAUAGGCUCAAAAUCAACUAAUUUCAAUGACCGUAGUGAGUCGUUUGCAAGUUUAACGUUGUUUUGUGGUAGAAAUAAUCAAAAUCACUCCGUAAAUUUUGAUAGAAAAAUUCUUUAUACUCUAUAAAACAAGAGCGAAUAUCUUUGAUUAUAAAUGUUUAAUGUAUAUUAUUUACAUUUAUGUAAGAUUUUUAUUUCAGCCAGUUGAUUUAUGAGCCCCUUAGUUCACUAGGCCACAAAUGAUAUCCAUAAAAUCAUAAAUUUAAAAUAGUUUUCUAGGUACGUUCAAUAUCUAGAUCAAGUUUAACGGAAACCGAUCGACGGAUUCGAAAAUCAGAACAUCGAAAAUGAGCUGGGAAGCACGAAGGUCCGUGCUUCCGAUAGGAUUGUAGCCAUCACAUCGUAUAUAUAUAUAUAUAUAUAUUAUAUAUAUAUAUAUAGUAGAGCUCCUGUGCUUUUAAAAGCACGGAGCUCUUGUGCUUGGCAUUUUUUCACCGUUGGAUCGGCUUCGCCUCGAGAUCCGCGCCUGCACUUAAGGGGUGAACUAGAUGGACAGCCAAAUAACGCCGUUCCUCUCUCUCCUCUCUCUACACGUGAAGCCCCCUCUCUUUUUACCCUCUGGCAACCCACCCUCUCUCUCUCUCUCCUUUCUCUCUCUCUCUCUCUCUCUGGUUCCCCCACCAGAUCCAGAUCUUUUUCUUUUUUUUUUUUACUUUUUCUCCCUCCAUCUCUCUUUCUCUUUCCCUUUCAUCCCGGACGCCCCCUCCGCGCCGCCUUCCGGGCCGCGGCGCUACAGGAUCGCUCCCGGACGCGCCCCUUCGCGUCGACGCCUUCUGGCCCGCGUGCUAUAGGAUCGCUCCCGGACGCGCCGCGCUCCCUCGGCCCCGUGAGCUACUCGGAUCGAUCCCGGGCAACGAUCUGAGGAUUUAGUUCUCCAACUGCGGCGGUUCCCGCACCUCCGACCCCUGACGGCGCCGUUCUCGUGAAGAUCUCGAAGGUAAGCGUCUCGGUUAUUAUGGGAACUUCUGAUUUUGUGUUUAUGCAUAUGUCAUUGUCAAACCAAAAUUUGAUUCUUUAUUAAUUGGACCUGAGCACUUGAUUUUGUAAAAUUUCUCCCUUUUAAGCUUAUGAGAAAUUGGUAUUUGCAUUUGGAUUAGUAUGCUUUGAAGUAGAGUGUUUGGUUUCUGACAAAGCUCAUAAUUGAUCUGGGGUAUUCAUUGGUAUUUGCAUUUGGAUUAGUAUGCUUUGAAUUAGAGUGUUUGGUUUCUGACAAAGCCCAUAAUUGAUCUGGGGUAUUCUCAAAAAAUCUCAUCAAAAUAGGAUCUUGGGGAUCCAUCUAAGAUAUGUGCAUUGUUGUUGUUUAAUCUUUAUGCUUUAUUUAAGGAUCCAUCUAGGAUCUUGAGGAUCUUGUCACAAUUUAUCUUUAAGAGGCAAUUCUUUUAUUUGUUAAUUUUAUCUGCUGCUUUUAUGUAAUAUGCUCACUGAUUUAUUUAUUUCAUAGCUUUCUGGAGUAGUUCCACCUCCUUUAUGCAGAAAUGCCCAAAUGUACUUGAAUGCUAUGGGUGGCGAAGUCACUACCAGGUUGAAUGUAAAUGCAGCAAACCAAGUACCUAGAAGAAUGUAAUGUCCUCGUAUUUGCAGAGUUAAUGAAGUCUGUACAUUUACUAAUAUGGCUGAACAUUCUUGUGCUUAUUGUUUUGGAUAUGUAUAACAAUUCUAGAUCACCGUUUUCUUUGCUUUCAUUUUGUUAUUUUGAGGUUCAUUUUUUGUUCUGAAUCAUUGAAGCUCAUCUCCUCGACUUUUGCUUGUAGAUAGUCCUCGUCUGUGGACUAAGAAACAGAAACUACUCAUCUGUGGGAGCACUUUCACUUUUUGUGUUCUUCAUGCAAAAUCUUUCUUUUCCUCCUGUAUUCUUUGCUAGCUCCUUUGUUUCGUUAUAUCAUCUCUUUUUGCUGUUUCAUGCUUCCUUGUUCAGUGUUUUUGUUCGAUAAAAAUAGAUGAUAUAGUCAGGUAGUUUUCAGCCCCAGUUAUUUUAGGUAAUUGUUAGACUACUAUGGCAUCUUAUGUUAGUGCCAGUUUGGACAUUGUGGAAGCAUAAAUGAAUCAAUGUGUGAAAGUUUGAAAUUGGAAAUGAACUGGACAACCUUUUGCAAGCUAUCGAUGGUUGGGUUAGAUCUGAUAGACUUAAGCUGGUUCUUCCUCCCCCAAUUGGAUAAAUUUGAUCCAAUACCUACUUGCGGGGUCAAAUUCACCUCUGAUAGACAUUUCUUGAAGAGAUGCUUCAUUUGUUACUCCCUUAGAAGUGCGACCUUAAAAUCUUCUUUAACUGAAAUUAUCAUCUAUAUAGUAAAUCAGCCCCCAAAAAAGAUGCAGCCCAUUUCCUUGGUUGAGUUUGAUUGUAAUAUAAUUGUAAUUAACAUUAAGCUGAAAUUAGAAAAUUCUAAAUCAUGAAGGCUGAUUGGCAUGCAGGCCAACUGUUGUAGACUAGCUAACUGAUCGGUCAUCUUAUUGCGGACAAGUUGAUCAGCCAAGUAUUGGGAGAUGCAGUUUAAUGUAAGCAUACAUAAUUUUGAAGUACACAUUAUAAACACAGAUAUGUUUUUCUCCUACUACACAUUAUAAACACAAGUGUAGAUAUGUUUUUCUCAUAUCUGUGUUUAUGCUUACACAGAUAUGUUUUGAUCCAUAUCGAGGCUACUACACAUUAUAAACACAUGAUAAACAUGCGGAAGGCGUCGGCGCGUCCGGGAUUGAGUAGCGCUGCGGCUCGGAAGGCGUCGGCGCGGACCACCACCGUAGAGAAGGGAAAAGAGGAAGAGAGAUCGCACGGCCUAGAAGGCCUGGAAGGCGUCGGCUCGUUCGGGAUCGAGUAGCGCUGCGGCCUGGAAGGCGUCGGCGCGGACCACCACCGUAGAGAAGGGAAAAGAGGAAGAGAGAUGGAGGGAGAAAAUGAAAAAAAAAGAAAGAAAGAAUGGUUUGGGAACCAGAGAGAGAGAGAGAGAGAGAGAGAGGGGGGGUUGUCAGAGAGAGAAAAGAGAGAGAGAGAGAGAGAGAGAGAGAGAGAGAGGGUGGGUUGCCAGGAGGAAUUCUAUACUGUCACACUUGCACCACGUCAUCAAUAACAAGCCAAUCACAUUCAUUCUUUUCAAACAAAAAUAUGAUAAAAAUACUUUUUUACAAUCAUGAUGGGACAUAUAUUCUUAAAAGGAUUAAUUUGAUUGGUUUGUUACGCCACGUCACUAAUAUAUCCGUUGCAUUCUAGAAUUUUUCGGUUGCCAGAGGGUAAAAAGAGAGGGGGCUUCACGUGUAGAGAGAGAAGAGAGAGGAAAGGCGUUAUUUGGCUGUCCGUCUAGUUCACCCCUUAAGUGCGCACGGAUCUCGAGGCAAAGCCGAUCCAACGGUGAAAAAAAUGCCAAGCAUAAGAGCUCAUGUGCUUUUAAAAGCACAGGAGCUCUACUAUAUAUGAAUUAAACUCCUAUGCUUUUAAAAGUACCAAAUUAUUGGUGUUUGUAGAUUUUUAGCCAUUAUAUUAAGAGAUAUGCGGUUAGGAUGAUGUGGGUCCCCUAGGGUUGAGUGGAUUGUUGGUUGAAUAGUAUAAUCUAAUGGUUGAAAAUGAUCCGAGAAGUAGAUCUAACGGUAAAAAACUUACAAGCACCAAAUGCUUGGUACUUUUACAAACACCAUAGCUGGUAUAUAUAUAUAUAAAAGCUAUCUUGGUACAUAACAGAAGUACCUCAUAACAGAAGUACCUCUUGCGCAGAUUUUGAUGCUUGAGUUUCCUUUUUAUCUCUUCAUCUGUUCUUUUUGUUAGUCCUAUCAUGAAUCUUUCCUAGUAUUACACUACAAAAUUUUCGUUAAAUUUUAUUUUUUUUAUUAUAGAAGUAAAGUUUGUAAAUUUGAUACUAAAAUUAUAUAUAUAUAUAUAUAUAUAUAUAUAUAAUAAAAUUAUAAAAAAAUAAUUUUUUAUUAUCUUAUACUCGCUCAACAAGCAGUUAAACGAGUGACUCUCGACCCGAUAAUAUUUAUGGUUCACGAUUCGACCGAUUUAAAAGAAAAAAAAUGAGAGUGUGAAGUGCUUCUUUCUUAUUGUUAUAUGUGAUUUGCACUCAUUAGCGUGCUGUUUUGGUUGUGCUUCAUUCUCAAGCUACUUAUUUGUAACGUAAUCAACCUAUCUUGAAUUGAUUGUUGGAGAGGAGUUCGGGCAAUACAAAAUAUUUUAUUGAACUGAUUAUUGGGUACUGAUUUAAUUUUAAUAAAGUUGAUAUAUCUAAUCAUUUAAUGAUAGAGUAACAUUUUUACUGUCAUUUUUACUUAGAACAUAACACGUAAUCAUUGAGAGAAAUCCCAAACUACAAGCCCGGUAAUGUUUAACCCAAAAAAUAAUACGGUUCAACAUAAUUAUCAUAAAAAAACUAUUUAUUUAAAUAUUUAAAACUAUUCAUGUACAAAUGAUGAAAGAUUUAACUGUUGGUAUUUGAAAUCUUAAAUCCGAAACUUAAUUAUUUUAUAUUUUGAGCUAAGUUCUCUCUCUCAUAUAUAUAAGAAAAAGAACUUUUCAGGAACAAAUUAAAAUUGACCGAUUAUCAGAUAUGAAAACGACUAUUCAAUCCAAACUGCGAUCCCUAUCCUGUACCCAUCAGGUCAAGAUCCUAAUAUCAAACAAUCAAAACUUAAAAGUAACUUAGAUACAUUAUUAUCUAGUUAUAUUCAGAUAAGUUGGAACUAGUUGGAUUAAGGAGGGGGCCAACUUUAAACUUAGGAUUUAUUUAGAUAUCAGAAUAAGUCAUUUAAAAAUAACUUAUUGGGUAUAAAUUUUUUUUAUUAUGAUUGUAAGUAGAAAAGUUUGAUUUUUUUUACCUUUUGAAAAGUUUUGUUAUUCAUAAUUUAGUAAGAUAGCAUAUUUCACAUACGGGAUGAUUUAUUUUAUUUUGAAAAAAUAAUUUGAAGAUCGAAUAUGAUAUUCCAUUUUAAAUGCUAAUUACACUUCUCAUCAACUAAAACAUACAUCAAAUAAGAUAUUCAUGCAUGCAAUCAGAACCUUAGGGCCUGUUUGGUGGUACGUUGUUAUAACUAUACUAUAAUUACAUGUUGUUAUUACUGUACUAUACUUAUAAUUGUUGGCUUAAAUGGAUCAGCAUCCUGUCCUGUGGCGGGACGCCAUGUGGGCCGAGUCAUGUUCGAAAUGGCGUGAGGCUGGGUUAGGCCGAGUCAUGUUCGAAGUGGCGUGAGGCUGGGUUAGGCCGAGUCACAAUUGAGAGCCGUGGGCGCUGUUUCUGUACGCUUUAAGUGAAUUGGUUGCGUAUUUCUAACAGCGCGAGCUUUUGGGAUUAAUGGUUAGCGCCAACAAUCCGACAAUAACUACAUGUAGAUUUAAAUUCGAUGUUUGAUUUGAUUUUUUGGACUAAGUGAAUUGGAGCCAACAGAAGUUUUGUGCUGAAGAUUGCUUUCAUUUGGUUAGAGUUGUAGGAAACUUAGCUCAGGGCCUGCCCAGCAAAAUCAAAAUGGGUUUAUCCUAAUUAUGUUCUCUUAAUAGGUGUAAUAUCCGUGAAAAUUUCAUAUAAGAUAGGAAAGAAAAAUCUAUAAUUCAAAGGUAUCAGAAAUAUUAAUAAUAAUAACUAAAUUUAAAUAUUUUAGACUAGAACUGAAUAUCAGCUAAAAUGUGAGAGCUAAGUGUUAUACAUAAUAAAAUAUUUUUUUUUGUUUGAGAGAUAGGUAGCACGCUACCCGCUUCGUUUAUUUCAUUUAAAAAUAAACUUAGCUAGAAAUGUGAAUCAACUAGGAUUCGAAUUUGGGUCUCGGGUACCAACCAUUAAGCCCUUUGCCACUUGCUCUAGGGACGGUCGGUAACAUAAUAAAAUAUUAAACGACGGAUUUGAUGGAUACUAUCUCACACCGUUUGUUAAUUCGGAUUUAUAUGUGUUAGUGAAUUAGGUUGUUGCAAUAGAUUCAUAAAUAAAGAUAGGAAAGCUAGAGAGUGAAUAAAAAUUUCGAAGGGAUGAUCUCCACUAUAAGAUUACUUUAUUUACCGUUUAUCUUGUGAAUAGUUGAAUAGUAUGAAUUUGAAAGACGCAUGAAUAGUAUGAAUCUGAAAGACGCAUGAAUAGUUAAUGAAGCGAUCUUUUAUUGGAGGCUAUUCUUUUUUUUUUUAAAUUUUAAUUUCUAUGGAGAGAUACUUUCAUUAUGUAUCAAGAUAAUAGGUUAUAUAUAAAGUAUCUCAUGUGCUUUUGAAAGUACGGACAUAUUCGUGCUUUCAAAUUAUUUUCAAUAAUAAAAUAUCCGAUUCGAUGAUCAAGUUUGUUAGACAUAAUUUAUGCUAUUAAAACUAUCUAGAAACUAAAUCUUAUUAGUUUUUGACAUUAUUUAAACCCGGUGAACAAAAGAUUUCAAAAAUGACUGUUUUAAAAAUCGAUGUAACACGUUUGUAAGUUCAAUGAUAAAAAAUAAUUCAAAUUAUGUGAAAUUUUAAUAAAAAUUUUUAUUUAUUAUCAAGAGCAAGGUUCAUAUUUUCGAUUUAAAAUUUAAGCCUUUUAUUAUUAUUUUUAACAAAGUUUUUAUUUUCAGCCGUUCAUUUUGAGACUAUACGUUUAUUAGGCAAAUAGGAUAAAAAAUUAUAAAAUUUGAUUUCUAGAUAGCGUUAAUCAUGCUUAACGAAAACGAUCAUCAAAUUGAAUAUCAUCGAAAACUAUAUGACAGUACGAAGGUCUCUAUACUUUUGAAAGUAUAGUAUCCUAGCUUUUAUAUUAUAUAUAGGAUUAAUUAAGAUGAUAAAUCUUUCUAAUCUCAUUAAUUAAACAAAUCAAUCCACCUCAGUUGAUUCGGUUUAGUUUCAUAUGUAAUUCAAUUCGACUAAAAAAAAAUCCGAAUUAAUCAGAUAAUUGAUUCUUUAAUUAAUGAGAUUAGAAAGAUUUAUCAUCUUAAUUAAUCCUAUAUAUAAUAUAAAANAAAUCAAUCCACCUCAGUUGAUUCGGUUUAGUUUCAUAUGUAAUUCAAUUCGACUAAAAAAAAAUCCGAAUUAAUCAGAUAAUUGAUUCUUUAAUAAUAUAAUAUAUAUUAAUUUUAAAUUAUAAUUAAAUAAUUUGGGUUAUAUAUUUUCAGAUGCAAUCAAUUAAAUUUUAAUUAUAAAAAAUAUUUAUUCGAAUUGAAAUAAACAAAAGAGAACCAACCAAUUUUCAUAUCCUAGGGGCAUGUUUAUUUUCAUCAAAAGUGAAAGAGAGCAAAAUUGUUUUUAAUUAUAGUGUCCAUUUCUUUUAUUUGGUUGGCCGUAAAUUAAAAUUGUUUAUAACUCCACUUUUGCAAAACGUCGUAAUUGACUUCACCUUGAAUAAUGUUAAAGUCAAAUAUGAAAGCAAAAAUAAAAAAUAAAAUGUUAAUUGCUAUAACUAUUUUUCACUCUCUUAUGCGUUAGUGUGAAAAUUUUUCUUAAAAUAAUAAAGAAAAACAAAAUAUUUACCGUUCCAAAACUGUUGACGCAUUAUCAACCAAACAACAACAUUUGACUGUAUUAGCAUGGACAAUAAAAUGGCGAAUCAUUAAAACUGUCUGGUUCAUUAUUAUUAGAAUGAAAAUCGAAAUAAAUAUCUAAGAUCUUGAGAGAGUGUUUUGAUUAAGGAAGAGAGCGAUGAAGGGAGAGAGAAGAUGGAGGUGUUUGUGAGAAAGAGUUUUGAAUGGUUUAUUCUGAAAUGAGCCAACUAAAAUUUAAUGCUUGAUUGGGUCAUAAGUAGAUUAAACGACGGAAUCUAAUUUCUGUAAAAUAAACAACACCCUUCAAAAUUAAUGAAUUUUAUUCCAAUUUUAUAGUGUAAAUAGGCGACAAACAAACAAACAGAUCGAAUGUUGGACACUUUUAACCAAAUGGGCCGGAUACGAGCCCAUGGGCCGAACGUAUCGGUCCAAGAUCCCAUUCUCAUAUCACCUUACUAAACCCCGGAGAUUUCGGCAAAACGUAACCGUCCAUCAACAGUUACACGCACUCUCCAAAUUCUUCUUCAACGGUCAAGAUCACUCCUCAGAUGCGUUAGUUUUGUUCCCGUUACGGAUACGGGACAUGUACCCGCUACGCGUAAAAACACACUAAACUCGUAUAAACUCUACAGUAUACGAGGCGAUUAAGUUUCCUCCCCCUCACCCUCCCCCUCAUCCCCUUCCCCCGCGUCAUAUAAUAGGGUUUUCCAAAGCCAUAAAGAAAAAUCAACCAAAACCAAAAAAGACAAAUUAUUAUAAGAGAAACAGAUACAUACUCUCUCUCUCUCUCUCUCUCUCUCUCUCUCCACACACACACACAAACACACACGCACACCAAAUUCUCCUUCUUGCGUUUAAGGUAUCAAAGAGAUAGAGCGAACUUAUUCGCUGUAAUUCCAAUUUCCCUUGGAGUUAUUCCGAGUAUUAGAAUCCGACGACGACGACGACGACGACGACGACGACGAAGCCAUUCGCCGGCGCGUCCCACCCGCCGCUGGAAUUGGGAUAAAGAGUGGGAAUAGCGGAUAAGAAGGCGAAUAAGGGCGCGUCCUUAUUCGGCGUCGUAAGCAAUCCCAAACCCUCGAUCUUGGGUGUCGAACUAACUUGCUAGGGUUUUCUAGGGUUUCCGGUACUUGGUUCUCUCCGGGGGGAGGAGAUCGAUUCCGCGUCCCUGUUUUGGUUGCUAGGGUUUCCGAUGGUGCGCCCUCGAGGGCAUUGAUGCGGGGCGACGAUGGAUGCGUAGAGAGUUUUGUUGUUUAAUCCAUUGAUAGGCUCGGGUGAGUGCACGGUACGUUGAUUUUUUUUUUUUUUUUUUUGGAUANAAGAAAAAAUGGUAAUUGAUUUUUCUUUUUUUUUUUAUUUUCUGUUUGUAAUCGGGCCAAAUGGACUGGGUGUGGUGGGUUGAGUAGAGUAAUCUUUUAUUUUUGGUUGGAUUGGGCUUUAUAUUUAGGCAUUAGCAGAUAUUUUUUUAAGUUUUAGCAUAAAUGUGAUACUUAUCCAAAAGUGUCCCAAACAUGUGUUCCUAUAACCUAAUUCUGUUGUAGUGUCAAUUAAAUUUUAAUUAUAAAAAAUAUUUAUUCGAAUUGAAAUAAACAAAAGAGAACCAACCAAUGUUCAUAUCCUAGGGGCAUGUUUAUUUUCAUCAAAAGUGAAAGAGAGCAAAAUUGUUUUUAAUUGUAGUGUCCAUUUCUUUUAUUUGGUUCGCCAUAAAUUAAAAUUGUUUAUAACUCCACUUUUGCAAAACGUCGUAAUUGACUUCACCUUGAAUAAUGUUAAAGUCAAAUAUGAAAGCAAAAAUAAAAAAAUAAAAUGUUAAUUGCUAUAACUAUUUGAAAUUUUUUCUUAAAAUAAGAAAGAAAAACGAAAUAUUUAUCGUUCCAAAACUGUUGACGCAUUAUCAACCAUACAACAACAUUUGACUGUAUUAGCAUGGAAAAUGAAAUGACGAAUCAUUAAAACUGUCUGAUUCAUUAUUGGAAUGAAAAUCGGAAUAAAUAUCUAAGAUCUUGAGAGAGUGUUUUGGUUAAUAAAGAGAGCGAUGAAGGGAGAGAGAAGAGGGAGGUGUUUGUGAGAAAGAGUUUUGAAUGGUUUAUUCUGAAAUGAGCCAACUAAAAUUUAAUGCUUGAUUGGAUCAUAAGUAGAUUAAACGACGGAAUCUAAUUUCUGUAAAAUAAACAACACCCUUCAAAAUUAAUGAAUUUUAUUCCAAUUUUAUAGUGUAAAUAGGCGACAAACAAACAAAGAGAUUGAAUGUUGGACACUUUUAACCAAAUGGGCCGGAUACGAGCCCAUGGGCCGAACGUAUCGGUCCAAGAUCCCAUUCUCAUCUCACCUUACUAAACCCCGGAGAUUUCGGCAAAACGUAACCGUCCAUCAACAGUUACACGCACUCUCCAAAUUCUUCUUCAACGGUCAAGAUCACUCCUCAGAUGCGUUAGUUUUGUUCCCGUUACGGAUACGGGACAUGUACCCCCUACGCGUAAAAACACACUAAACUCGUAUAAACUCUACAGUAUACGAGGCGAUUAAGUUUCCUCCCCGUCCUCGGCUCCUCCCCUUCCCCCGCGUCAUAUAAUAGGGUUUUCCAAAGCCAUAAAGAAAAAUCAACCAAAACCAAAAAAGACAAAUUAUUACAAGAGAAACAGAUACAUACNNNNNNNNNNNNNNNNNNNNNNNNNGGCGGCGGCGGCGGCUAGGAUAAGGGGGGAAUUGGAUUCGGAGUCGUCUUCUUCCGGCCCCCCGGCGACGGGACGGCUCGGUCCGGGGAUGGCCGUGUGAGAGCGCUUGUUCCGAUUCUUCGUUGGCUUAGUUGAUAGGUUGGUUAUGAGGGGGGGAAUAAUUCGAAAAGGAGGAGCUGAUUCUUGUAGAUAGAUAGAUGUUGCUCUUUCCGUCAUGGAGAAAGGCGAGCCCGCAUUCAAGCCAGAGUGGUUGAAAUCGUCCAACGGAAGCACGAGCAGCAAUGCCUCUUCGAACCACCUCACCGGCACUUCUUCCCAUUCGAGUGCGUAUUCUCCUUGCUCUCGUCACUUUAAUCAGCUUUCAAUUCUCGAUAUUUCGUAUAUUGAUGCGCGUUUUUCAAUGCUGUAGAUGAACACGGUGCAGGGAUUUCCUCUCGAAACAGACUGCCCGCUGCCGUGGGCGACCGCGACAGGGGUUUGUUAUCCUCCGCCAGACGGAGUUCAAGCUUGAAUGGGAAAUCUAGGGCUUACAGUAGUUUUGGUAGGAGCAACCGCGAUAGAGAGCGGGAAAAGGAUCUUGAUUUGCUUGACAGAGAGAGUAGGUCGGUUCUUCUCGACAAUGGUUACAAUGACCGUUUCGAUUCGUUAAUAGCGAGUAGGUCGGAAAAGGAUAGUUUGAGGCGGUCGCGCUCCAUGGUGUCGGGGAGGCCGGUAGACACGUGGACAAAAACAGUAGGAACUAACUCAAAAAAUGAUGUUCCUUCCAGGGGGACUAUGAGUAAUGCCUCCUUUGAAAAAGACUUUCCAUCCCUUGGUGCCGAAGAGAAGAAUGGACGGCUAGAUGUGGGUAGGGUUUCAUCUCCAGGUAUUAGCACCCCACUUCAAAGCAUUCCGUUAAGUGUCACAGCCAUAUCUGGAAUUAAUAGCUGGAAUUCUGUGUUGGCUGAAGUGCCUAAGAUGGUCGGAUCAAACGGACCCCAAUCUGCACCUACUAAUCAAGUUCCUUCGACCCCAAGCACUUCGACGGGCCUAAAUAUGGCUGAAACAGUAGCACAGGCUCCAUCACGAUCUCGUAAUGCACCUCAGGUCGACUAAUACCUGCGAUAUUUUUUUGUUUUGUUUUUUUCAUUGAAAGUCCUUUCCUAUUCUAUCUAAUUAUGUUAUGAUGUUCUAUUUUCCAGUUAUCAGUUGAGACACAGAGGAUUGAAGAACUAACCAUUAGACAAUGCAAGCAGCUAAUACCAGUGACGCCUUCAACAACUAAAAGUUUGGUAGGUUCCUUACCUUUUCCAAGUUAACUUCCUUCUGUUAUUCUAUUGAAUACCCUGUUCAUUUGCAAUCGGUAAUAGCAUGAUGUUUCCCGAUUUGCACCUUAUCAUUACAACGGAAUCUCCACCAAUGGCAUGUCCAUUGUGUGGUUGUCGCAUUCUGUUGGAUUUAAUUUUGGUCUCAUUAUGAUACUAAUGAUUAUUAGCCAGAUUUACUAUUAGCUAUACAACUUGGUGAGUCUUCAAAUAUCUCUUCUCUAACACAUUAGCUAAUAGUUGUCGUUGCAUGACGAACUUGGUGAAUGUCUAUAUGGCCAUAAAUAAAACCUCAUGCAUGUUUGUUUGUAGGCUUGUCUUGGUGCUUAACGUCUCCUUGUUAACAUCUCCCUGUAGAUGGCUCAUUCACUACUUUAUGCAUAUUUUAUUUUAUUUUGUUAUAUAUAUAUAUAUAUAUGUAUAUAUAUAAAUGUAUAUAUAUAUGUAUAUAUAUAUGUGUAUAUAUAUAUGUAUAUAUAUAUAUGUGUAUAUAUAUAUGUAUAUAUAUAUAUAUAUAUAUAUAUAUAUAAAUAUAUAUAUAUAUAUUAUAAUCUAUAUUAUAUAUAGCUUAUGAGUAGUCUCCUAUAUAUCUAUAGUACCGGGUCUCCGGUACUAUAGUCUCGUUUCGAUCUUAAGGGUUCAAUCAACGAUCACAGCGUUAAAACUAUCUAGGGUAUUUAAAGUUUUAGAAUAAAAUUUUAUAUUUUUCGACAUAGUUUACUUUAUGAUCAAACCAUUUCAAAAUUGUCAAUUUUCAUGGCUACUUAUGGCGAGUUUGGAGUUUAACGGUGUAGAAGAAUUUAAAUUCUUUAAAUUUUGAUAGAAACAAUGGUUUUGAACUAUCUAGAUUAAGGUUAACAUUCUUGAUCUUGAAUUUAAAAGUUCUAUACUCAAAUUUUAAAGAUUAUUCAAUUUUCACCGUCCAUUUUGACAUAAUUUAUUUAUUAAGUAAACGAUGUCGAAAAAAACUAAAAUUUUACUCCUAAAAACUUCAUAUACCCUAGAUCAUAUUUAACGGUGUGGAUCGUUAAUUUGAACACCCUAAGAUCGAAAACAAGACUAUAGUACCGGAGCUCCGGUACUAUAGAUAGUAUAGUAGCCUAAUUCUAUAUAUAUAUAUAUUUUACUUUUUGCAUAUUUUGAAACUAGAUCUGGAUUCCUUAUUAUAUGUUGUGGGCGUAACUUACUGCGAGAUUCAAAAGAAAAUGGGGAAAAUGAAAACUACAACACCCAACUGCCAUUAACACACAAUAACAUAGCAGAUAAUGCCACAAAGAAGUAGGGGUUUGUUCAUGGAGAAUCAGGUGCCUUGUGUAUGUCAGGUGGAGCUUUGGAUGCUAUUGUCAUGAACUGUGCUGAAGCUCCUUUGAUUAUUAGAUUCUUGAGAAGAUUUGUGGUUGUUCUCCUAUGUUAUUUCAGUUCCUAAUUACCUAAAUUGUAAGCUUUUAAUCACUAUUUUGGAUACUGCUUACGUGUACUUUUACUCUUCUAGAUGCCUUUUGUAAUUUUAUUUAAAGAAUAUACUUGGACAAAUUCAUGUUUGUAUAAUUCACCUGACAUGAAAUAAAUGUCUUUGCAAUAAAAUAUUUCGAGCUAACUAAUAUUGAUUCUGGAUAAUAAAAUGAAAUAAAUUGAUUUGUAAAUGCUAGGAUGGUGAAUUUGAUUGCUGUUUAGUGCAUAAUUCUGAGCCUAUUGUAUGUGUUAUCCAAAGGUUUUGAAGUAUUGGUUUUGUUUCCCAUUUGAUUGGCUUCAUGGAGAUUCGUUUAGGAUUCCUUGGUAGUUUUUAUAAUGUUGGCUUUAAGUAGGGAUUUCUUGGAAUCUAAGAAAUUGUAGGAGAAUUGGAACAAUCGAUUGUAAAUAUCAAACUCGUGCCAUGUCGGUUGGGGAAAAAUACGUGAGGUGUUUAUGCACAUGCAUGCAAUGUAUGUAUGUAUGAACCUUAACUGGGGCAUCAGUGUGCAGUAAGUAAAACCAGCCAAUAGUUAAACUAGUGACCAAAUUUAGAAGGGAGAUGCUGACACUGAUGGCAUGUUCUGGCUAUUAGGUGUCUUUACAUCCAUGUUGGAAAAGUUUGUUUUCAAUUGAUGCUUCAUGCUUAUUGAGGGAAGUACUAAGACUUGGUUUUCAACUAAUUAUCUUGGAAUGUUUCUUGUGAAGAUUGCCUGGCAUGCUAUAAUGUUAUGAUAUUUAAUCCCCAGGCAAUUAAGGAAUUAAGUGCGACUAACUGAUUUGAUUUAGAUAGAUCUGGUAUAUACUUCAGUAUAGAAUUUGUUGCAGUCUCCAUGCAGAAGGUUUUAAUAAUUUUGGAAUACACACUGUGGGGAGUUCGUAAAUUUUAACAUAGUGGGAACUCCACAAGAUUAACUGAAGAAAACGAAAGACUAGUGUGGUAGGAUAUAGCAAGUAUGGAGAUCAAAAAAUUAUCUUACACAUCUUGCAAGCGCUAUUCUUUAUUUGAUGACCACUAAGUAGUUGUAUCAUAACUUCUGAAGGCAAUUGGACAAAGUGAUGUUUGUUCAUUAAUAACUUUAACGACACUUUCUUAUGUGCUAGCUGCUAAAUAUUAUAUAGGGAAGAACACUAGGAUAUAACUAUGUUUAAUGAAGCCAUUCAGCUGCACUAUUGUGCUGGCUUUAUUGAGGUUAAGCAUCUCGGUGAUUUUUGAUGCUCAUGCCACUUAUUCUUUUUUGGUAUGAUAUAUUUUUAUUGUACUGCCCAUUAUGUGCAUAUGUAUGUUAAUUCAUCACCGAGCUACCAUAUUGAAUUGUUGAUGUGAUUACGAAAUUAAAAUAUAAUAGAUAGAUAUGAACUUUGGAUGUCUGAUGUUAAUUUGUUGCCUAAACAUAUUUCUUUCUUUGACUUGAUUCAUAUAUUAUUGCAUUCUGCCUAUCGAUUUCUUGUUUUUCCCUUUGCUGCACUUGUCUUAGUCAUCUGUCUUUAGCUAUUAGAGCUUUUUUCUUCAUAGCUAUUCUGAUGCAACAUUUGAUGAACCCAAUGUAGCGCAGCAUAGUAGAUGGGCUGUUGAGAUCAACUCAUUGGCUGAAUAUGAAGGAAAAAAGGAUGAAACUUACUGAUGGAAGCAACUAAUAAAAAGAGAGAUGAUGACAAGAUGAAAAAGAAGACUGUAGGACUAAUAAAUUGAAGAAUAUAUUAUGACAGCAUUGAUAUAGUUAAAGCGAAUGAUAUAUGUAAACCUAUUAGAACUCUUAAAGAAUGAAUGAAAUACUAUACUUGGAGAAAGAUAGACUAGAGGGCUUUAAGUUGAGUCCUAUGGGAUGACAAACUAUUUCGCUUUUUUUUGAACUACUAUCAUCUAUGGCCUAUUACUGUCUAUUGGUUGACUGUUUUUGGAGGAUAAAAUUUAUUGUUGUACUAAACUAUCAAAAAAUAGGAGUAGGUUUUGUGUGCUAUUAGAAGCACGGAGGCCUCCGUGCUCUUAAGCCGUUUUCGAUGAUGGAGCUUCCGAAUCGACGAUCGACUCCGUUAGACUUGAACUAGCUAUUUUAAGUAACUAGAAAGUAAAUUUUGUGGUUUUUCGAUAUUAUUUACCUAGUGAUCGAAAGGAUUCAAAAUUAACGGUUGAAAAUGAAAAUUUCACAAAAAGUUAUGAUAUAGUACUAAAAUUUUCGAUUAGAAAUAUUAAUCUUGCUGUAGAUAGUAUAAAAAAUUUUCUAUCAAAAUUUCAUCUGAUUUGAAUACUUCUACUGUUAAACUCGCAAACGGCACAUAUCAACCAUUAAAAAUUGUUGAUUUUGAACUCUUUCAAUUACUAGGUAAAUGAUAUCGAAAAAUCGCAAAAUUUAUUUUCUAGGUACUUAGCUCCAUCAUCGAAAACGGCUUAGGAGCACAAAGGCCUCCGUAUUCCUAAUAGCACACAAGACCUACUCCUAAAAAUAGUGUAGUUCGAAGAAAAACUUCGAAUAAGAACAAUAAAAAGGUCCUAGCUUUCUGUCUUUCUUGACAUUACCUCAUCUAGUGGUCGAUUUGAUUGAGCCUGUGCUCCAUAUUGAACCAGAAUUGUCAUUAGCAUUUAUAAACUUGGAACGGAAUUCUGUUAAGAUAUUCCUCUAUGCCUGAGAAGACAUAUAAAGAAGGUUCCGACAUACUGAUGCUGUCAAUUAUGCCUUCUUGUUCAUUUUUUUUUAAAACAUAGUAUUGCCUAAUAUAGGACUAGUAAACAAACGUCCUGUGCUAUGCUCUGUGCUGUUUUAUCCCCUUGCAACAUAAAUGUUGGGAUUUUUUACUUUAAACUAUUGGAUCGUAAUUUAACACUGGUAACAGGGCUCAGCAGUCGAAUUCUUGCACCAUUUGAUAAUCUGUGGUAUAAACUAUAAAUAGACAGAUGGCCUGGAUGAACUAAAAUUUGAACAUCUAAGCCUCCUCCUAUGCAAGUUGCCAUCUAUAUAGUGUCUUGUUGGUAGCUUGAAAAAGGUAUUGACUAUAUAAAGGAAGAAGUUUUCUACAAUUUCCAUUCAAAAUUUUCAUAUCUAAGUAUGUGAUCUCAUUUUCUUCCAUUCUAGAUGGCACCUUUGCUCACAUUAGCAUGAUGUUGUCAAUUCAUGUCUGCUAAAAAGCUGAGCAACAUGGGAGAAACAAAGUAGAGUUGGUUGUUAUCUUCCUAAAAAUUUAACCUUUCUAAUAUUAAAUUUGUGGAUAUUUUGUUGUUCCCCUUAUAUCUUGUAUACUCAAAUUGCUGGGCAUAUACAUUCCUGUCAACACAUAAUUUCGAACUGCAAAACAUCGAAUUUUGCCUAUGAUCAUACUGUACUGUUGUUUUAUCGAGUAGUUCAAGACUUCCAAGUUAAACUCCUUACCCCGUCCUUAACCCCUAAUACCCUCACACACCAGAAAAAAGAAAGGGAGGGAAGAGCAAAACAAAAACCACCUAGCAGACCAAAAAGAUAUAAGAAUCCUCACUCUGUUGCUGAAUGCUGACAUGUCUCGUGUUGCUGUCGCCGAUAGUAAAACUCUCUAUUAUAAUCAUCUUUCUUGCUUUAGCAAACUGAAUGAGCAGCUGCAUUCAAUUUCAUAAGCAGCACAAUUGAAAGAUAUCUACUAAUAUUUCUUCUAAUUGGCCUGCUACGGUCCAAUUGGACCUCAACUCAGCUCACAUAAGUAAGGACGCACAGUUUCCUAUAGCAGAUAAUGCUCUUUUGAUAAUGCUCUUUUCUUCAUUUGUGCUUUUCCCAAUUGAGCCCGGAGGCUACUUGUUUGCAUUAUCCUGCAGUACUCCAUUAUUGUUUGCAUUAUCCUGCAAUGCUCCAUCUUGUAGAACCUGUUAUUUAUACAUUUCUGUCCAGUGUAUUGAAGUUCCUUGGUGGAUGAUACUUGACUAUAGAACAUUCUGAAACAAGUGAUAGCUUCUUCUUGUAAGGUUACAUUUUGGUAGAACUCAUUGUAAAGAUUGAGGUAUUCCCUAAUGGCAUGUUUGGUUCAUGAUUGGAAUAGAAAUGAGAAAUAGAAUUGGAUUGCAAUGGAAUGUAAAAUGGAAUGGUCGAAUCAUCUAAAAAUAUUUGGUUCAUUAUUGAAUGAAAAUCGCAAUGGACAUCUAAGAUUUUGAGACAGGGUUUUGGUUAAGAGAGAGGAGAGUGAUGAAGGGAGAGGGGGAGGUGUUUGUGAGAGAGGGUUUUGAAUGGUUUAUUUUGAAAUGGGCCAAUCUGGAAUUCAAAAUUGGAUUGGGCCAUUAAUGGAUUGGGCGAUUCCCAUUCCAGAGAGGAAUGGGAAUCCAAAUCCGAUUCGUGUGAAACAAAUGACAACUAUCGGAAUCAAUGAAUUUCAUCCUAAUUCCAUAGUUUAAAAUAGGUGAACCAAACGAGCCGUUAAUGUGAAUCUUUAUUCCAUACUCUUCUUGACAUGCUGAAUGUAUGAAAUUUCAAUGUUAGUUGAGUCUUUUGUCCUUUCCAUGAAUAUAUUUUGACAAAUACACAGGUUCACUAAAAGAAAAAUUUAAAAAGCACCACUCCACAUAUUUUAACAACAACUCAAGCUUUAAAAUGCUUGUGCUUUGAUUCAUUAAUUAGCAGUUAAUUUUCUAUGUUAAAGUGUAUUCAUGGGAAGAAAAGAACACUCGGCUAACAUUGAAAUUUCCUGCACUCGGCAUGCCAAGAAGAAUAUGGACUAAAGAUCUGCAUAAGAGAAUACCUCAAUCUUCACAAUGAGUUCUACCAAAAUAAUUUACAGGACAAAAAGUUAUCACAUGUUAAGCUUCAUAAUUUUCUUGUGAACACUGUUGCCUAGUUUGUUCUUGUCACAAACUCCUUUUGAUACUUUCAUCAUGCUGGAAAAUUUUCUCAUCUUUUCAGGUGUCGAGCUCUUCGGAUAAGCUGAAAAACAAAGGAGCUAGAGUUGGGGACUCUACUGCUGCUCUUAAGGCUGGACAACAGUUGUCAUCUCAGCCUGUGAGUGCAGUGCCUCGUGCUUCAGUCAAAGCUGAUACUGUAAAGCUGCCUCAAGGGGGAAGCUUUCAAGUCCUCAACCGAGAAAAGAAUGGCAUCUCCCCUACUGCCAAAGAAGGCUCAAGUGUUGGCAAACCUGUGAGCCCUAUUGGCGUACAUCCCUCUGCUUCAGUUCUCUCAUUGAAGAGUCCAACUAACCAAAAACCUAGAGUUGAAGGAAAGGCUUCUGCUUUACCUUCUCCUCAAGGCCCAUUUGGUGAGAAAAGAUCGCAAGCUAAGGAUCGGCAUGAAUUCUUCAACUUCAUACGGAACAAAACAUCAAACAGUUCAGGUGCUGUUCCUGAAGCAGGUGGUGUUUCAUCCUCAUCCAGCUUGGUGAAUUCAGGGAAGCAGAGUGAUUUUUCUGGCGACAAUGGAAAAGAUGCUGAUUCUGUAAAUUUUAAGUGUGUGGAGAAUGGAGAUUGUAGUUCUGAGGUAGCGGAUGGUAGCGAGCAGUCCGAGUGUCUCUUACCUGACAAUGAAGACGCUGAACCUUGUUUGGAGCCUGUUGAUCCAGAAGAAGAAGCCUUCUUACGGUCGCUUGGCUGGGAUCAGAAUGCGGUGGUGGAUGCUCUGACAAAGGAGGAGAUUGAUGCUUUUAACAUGAAGGUAUUGUGUUAUCUAUCUAUUUGAAAUGACGUACAUUUAGGGGUGAAAACAGAUCGGAUGCUGAUCAGAUAAAAGGCUGAAGAGAAUCUAUAUACAUCUUCCUGUUCCGUAGACAAAUGCAGAUAAUAGUCGUGAAGUAAAUUCUAGUGUUGAAAUUGUAUUUGCGUAAUAAAUACAAGUUUGAUAUCAUAUAUGUCCCCAGUAGUAUCAAAUGCGUGUUAGUUAAACCAUGAAAAGAAUAGAGAAUAAAUAUAUUGCUGAACAACUAUAUUAUAGUUUGUGAACUUUAUGGCGGCGUUUGGUUCGGGUAUAAGUAAGAACUGCUUAUUUCAGAAAUAGGUACAAGUUCAGGUAUAAGCAGGAUAGACCAAUUUUGUGUUUGGAUAACAAUUGGGUUGUUUCUGGGAAUAAGGUAAAUAGUGUUUGAAUGGUUAGAUUAGAAUAAGAAGAAUAAGAGUUAUAAUUUUAAAUUAAAAUUAUUUUAUAUAAUUAAUUAACAUCAAAAUAUUACUUAAAAAUAAUUUAAUAAAUUACUAAAUUUAUUAGCUAUGAAUAUUGUAUAAGAUAAUGAAAAUAUAUUAAUUAAUUAAUUAUAAAAAAUAAUUUAACUUUUUAAUUAGUUAGUAAAUUAUUUUAGUUAGAUAACUAGUAAUAAAUUAAUUAGAUUAAUAAAAAAAUUAAUGGUUGAUCAAUAUAAAUAUUAGUUUAUAGAUAGAUAUAUAUUUAAUUAUUAAUAAUUAAUUAGCUAAUUAAUUAUAAGUAAUAAAUUAAUUAAUUACUUUAUUAUUUAAGCAAUGGAUAAUAAUUUAAAUAUAUUAAUUAAAUUAAUUAAUGAUUUAAUACCAUAAAUAAAAUUAAAUUUAGGCUUUAAUUAGCCUUGUUCCUACUUGGGAACAAGUUUGUUCCAGAAAAAAUGUGGAACAGCAGUUCCAGCCUUAUAUCGGGUUGUACCAGCUUAUUCUAGAGACCCGAGAAUUACUGUUCUCAGGUACGAAAAUUCUGGUUUGGGAACAAAGUGGGGAACAACCGAACAAGGGCUUAUUCCCCCCCUUGUUCCUGAACCAAACAGUGCCUAAACAUAUGGACCUAUUGAUAUAUAACGGGCGACGACUAUAAUAAAUAUCAAACUCGACUUAAUAUAUCCAGAUGUUGGUAUCAAUCCUUAUUCAAGCUGCUUAGGAACUACUGUUCUCGGGUACGAAAAUUCUCGUUCGGGAAUAAAGUAGAGAACAAGGGCUUAUUCCCCCCCUUGUUCCCGAACCAAACACUGCCUAAACACAUGGACAUAUUGAUGUAUAACAGGCGACGACUAUAAUAAAUAUCAAAAUCGACUUAGUAUAUCUAGAUGUUGGUAUCAAUCCUUAUUCAAGCUGCUUAGGAAAUUUAAACUGAUAUCCAGCAGAAGUUGGACUUACGCGUCAGAUGGCUGGAUAAUAUCCUACCUGUUUUCACCUUUUCUAUUUCACAUGUUAAGAUAUGGCUAUUUCCUGCUAUUUAGUUUGCUUAAAACUUUAUAUUGAAUGUUUUUACAGUACAAGGAGCGGAAGAAACCCUCCCAGCCAUCAGAGAAUAUAUCACCAGGAGUGGAAGUCCCGGCAGAACAAUCUGCAGCGAUGUAGCCGGUAUGGAUUGAUUAUCGAGCAUGUUUGGCUUAGGACCUGAAGCAUGAGUUUUGCUAAAUGGUUUCUGCUUUUGGUUACCUACUUUUAACUACCCAAGGUAUUCAUUCCAGUGACAUUCAAUACGGGAUCUGAGAUGUGGAAAGACGGUAGUUCUAGUUUCCUUGCUUGUUAAAAAAGAGAGGAGGAAUUUAGUUUAUAUGCCUGCUUUUGCUGCUGAGGGAAUGGCAAAUGAAAAUAAAAGAUAGAUUCUUCGGUCCUUGAGGCUUCAUCAGCAUGCUCCUUUUUUUGAAGCAUAGGUUGCUUUCAUUUGUUUCUUUUUUUUUUUUUCUUUUUUUUUUCUCAGUUCAUUUUCCUUGUUUCCUUGAGAAAUUAUGAGGAAUUAACAUGGAAGGUAUAUAGGAUUAAUGAAUACUUCUGGUCUGAAAGAAAUUGCAUAGUGAUGAGAGCUUUCAUUUUCUUGUUACUCUGUCCUCAUUGACUCACAGAUAUCCGACGAAAAUACUUCCUAGAAUCAAGGAGUUUACUUUGGGAAAUGCUAGUGUGUACUCCUAUCUUCAAGAUCUUCUAUUCAUAACAUACUAUGCUAUGUCUCAUUUUUUUUUUUCUUUUUUCUUCUUUUUUUUUUUUUUUCUUUUUAAUGAUGGGGAUCCACUUCAUAAUGUGUGUUUUUCGGUCAGUUAAAAAUCACUCCUCAUUUCGCAUGCAAGUUGCUACUCUUAUGUGAUGAGAGAGAGAUUUUGUCUGUGGCACACCCUGUGGUUCAAAAAGUGAUAAAGAUCUUGUUUAUGCCUUAACUAGCACAGGUAAAGUGUUGUUCUGGAGAAAUUUUUUUGAAGAGUUCUUUUUUCCUUUUUUUUUUCUUCUUUUUCGGCUACUCUUUGAUAAUUCAAUAUAGCAGGUACUGAUAAAGGAGAAAAUUUUCUCUGCACUUUGUUAUUUCGUAUAGGAUCUGUUGAGCAUUCAACCUAAUAUUGUCACUGCUACUAUGUGAAGUAGUUGGUUGGUGGUUGGUACCCUUCUCGGGCGUUUUAGGUCUCUCGGGUGUAAAUCUUGUUAUAUCUACAUGGUUGUAGGUAUCCUUCUCUGGGGUUUUGGUCUCGGGCGUAGGAAUCAGGAUAUAUUAGAUAUUUUAGUACUUAAAUUUUAAUUUAUUAUAAUUUUUUGUUUUAACUUUAGAAUUAUUGUAAUUAAGUUUUACAAUUUAAUUUAGUUAGCUAAAUAUUAAUAUAUUACUGGUGUUAAAGAGAUGCAGUAUUUUAAUUAUCGAUAUAUUAUCCAUCAUAAUACUGUUAUAUUAUUUUUACAUUAAAAAUACAUUAAUAUUUAGUUAUUAUAUUGGAUUGUAGAACUUGAAUGCAACAAUUUUGAUAGUUCAAACAUGAAAUUAUAAUAAAUUAAAGUAUUAUCCACCUCAUAGUCUGAGCAUCAAACAUGCAAUUUACCAUAGCUCUUUUUAUGUCAUUACUCGUUACACGGCAACAUAAAGAGUGACACAGUGAUAAGUCAGUAUUCCUUGCGUCAAGGAGAGCAACAUUUUCGAGUGAACUUUUGGCACCUGUAGCAGUAUUCCUUGCGAAAUGGCCUUUUGUAAUCAAAUGUCUGGAAAGUAUAUACUUAAGUUGCUGAUGAUGUUAAAUGCUUUAAUGAUCCAAAAAAAUAUUAGUAGAAGAGCAAAUAUCACACACAGGCCGUUAAAAAUUGUCAAUUUUAUGACUUUUUAAUCGGAAGGUAAAUGAUGUCGAAAAAUUAUGAAAUUUGAUUUCUAGAAUUUUUAAAUACUCUAAAUAAUGUUUAACGGUAUGGAUCGUCGAUUCGGAAGCUCUAUCAUCGAAAACAACUUAUGAGUACGAGGAUGAUCGAAUUCAUAAGAGUAUAAUAGCCGGACUCGUAUAAAUAUCUUAUUUGAUAUAUUAUUUGGUAGAUGAACCGUGUGAGUAAUUAAAAUUUAGAAUUGAUACCAUAUUCGGUCUUAAUAACUUUUUUAGAAUAAGAUAAAUUAUCUCAUAAGUAAAAUAUGCUAUUUUUUAAAAUCAUGAAUGUCAAGAUUUUUUAAAAAACAAAAUUUGAAACUUAGCUUAUAAUCACACAAUAAAAUCUCUAUACUGAAGCCUUAUUGUUUUAUAAGAAUAACAAAUUGAAUGAAAUCAAAAUUUAUCAUCCUACAUACACAAAAAAUACAAAAAUAAAUGUUUUAAUAAUUUGUAGUAUAAUAUUCUUAGCCUACAACUCGAAUGGAGUUGUAAUCUUACAACUCCAUGUUAACUUUUUUUCCACUAGUCUUGACAAUUUUUUAUUUUUUAUUUUAUAGUAAAAUGUAGAACAGGAUUUUUGAACCCUUGAUACCUACUACACCCUAUCAAAGGGAUCUAAUCCUACAAGGCUACAACACUCUUUUGAGUUGUGGACUUUGUAUUUCUCCUAUAUGAAUUGUAUAUUUGUGACGUAUAUAUAUAGAUGCAAAGGUAUGUUGGAGCAUGUUUUCAAGAAAGUGCCGGGUGGUAACUCGGCUAACGUGGACAAAUAGAUUCAUGACAUCCCAUAACUCGAGAACUGAUAGACGAGACGAAUAAAGUUCGCUAAGUUUUGACAGGAACGAUUGCGAACAAAUAGAAUCACGACAAGAACCGAUAGACGAACAAAGUUCACACCAAAAAGCUUUGACAGGAACGUGUCACGGACAAGUUUUCCGUUGACUAGCUCUCAUCCCACCGUCGGAGACGAAGGAUUUUGUAACUACUCCUAUCAAUAAUGGAAGCUCAAGAUUAUAAAACUAUCAUGAGUUAAUAAGGUGACUCUUGAGUUUAUGGCUUAUUAUGAGAAUGAGUUAGUGGGUCUGUUGAAUACGUGGCUAGAUUCAAUAUAUUUAAGAGCCUAUAUAUAGUGAAGUUUGACUAAGGCCAAAAGACACAAGAGGAAGUGUGUGUGUUUUUUGUAAUCUCUUUUUCUAAGUAGUGGAGUACUUAGUUUUUUUUUAUUGAACCUUUGCCUCUCUUGCUUUGUCAUUCAUUUUGCAUACUUAGUCGUAGGACGCGAAGGUCCAAACUAAUAAUAGGGACAAAGGCUGGCCCAUCUUUAAGCAGGAAGGCGGGCGCCGCACAGGCUUUGCGAAUAGAAACGCUAAGACCGUGACAGUUGGUAUCAGAGUUGGUUCGAGCAAGAAACCAUGUCGUCAUCCGAUGCAGCAGUUGUCGACGUUGGGGGUGAACCUCCAAAGCAGCCCUCCAAGCGAAGCAAGAGCAGAGACACGUGAAUCACGAGGGAUUCUGCGUCGUUGGAGGACCGCUUUGCGCCGUUGGAGGACAUAAUAGCAAAAAUGGGUGAAAGGUACACCGAAAUGGCUGAUACCUUUAACUCUUUUAACGACGAGAUCUGCAGUAUGGAGGAAGGCGUCGCUACUGCCAUGGUGACCUUUCGAAGCGAACUCGAAAAGUUUCGUGGCAACAUGACUCGUCGUGACGACGAGCGAAAGAAUCUGAUCGAGGAGCUCGUCGCUCAAGUUGACGAGGUCGAGGACCUCAAGACAAGAGUGGUAAUCCUUGAAAAAGCGAUGGCGCGUGGACAUAAACCCCAAAGAGAGUCCGCUUUGAAGGUACGUAUUCCUGAGCCUCAAAAUUUCAGGAGUACCUGCAACGAGAAGGAGAUCGACAAUUUUCUGUGGCACAUAGAGCGCUCCAUCAACGCGUUGCGGCUGGACGACGAGGAGGAGAAAGUCCAUGUUGCGUCCAUGUACCUUGCUGACGACGCGAUGCUGUGGUGGUGUCGACGUUUUGCAGAGGCCGAGAAGGGCCAAUGCCAACUAAAGAUAUGGGAGGACUUUGUGCGUGAGUUUAAGGCGCAGUUCUACCUCGAGCACGUCGAAUAUCUUGCGCGGAGGCAACUUCGACGGCUCAAACAUUCGAGAACUUUGAAGAAGUAUGUCCAAGAAUACUCCAAGCUGAUGUUGGCGAUCACCAACAUGGCCGAUGAGGAUCGGCUAUUCUUCUUCCCAGAUCGCCUUCAGCCAUGGGCGAACAAGGAGCUCAUGGCGCGAGACGUGAAGGACUUGAACUCCGCGAUCGCUUUGGCUGAGAAGUUGCCCGAGCCGGAGCGAACCAAGAGCGAUCGAGGUGAACCACCAAAGGCGAGCGAGGCCAAAGGUGGGCGAGAGCACUGCGAUCCAGGGGGCGCGAAGGGGCACAAGCCAAACCAUGAUGCGAGGAGGCAACGGCAGAAUCCCGCCUCGCCGCCUGCAACGAUCUCGUGCUAUGUUUGCGGCGAGAACCAUUGGGCACGGAACUGCCCAAACAGGAGCAACCACAAAGGUAAACAGGUUGCUGCGGUCCAAGCCGAGGAUGGCGCGGACAUGGUUGAGCUGCCGAGGAUGGGCGCGCUAAGGCUCGUCAACGCAGUUCAUGGACAACCAAGCGAUGAAAAGCUCUACAAGAAGGAGCUUAUGUUUAUCGAAGUGACCCUCAACGGGAGGGCUACGCGAGCGCUGGUCGACACUGGCGCAACCCACAACUUUGUUGCAGAGACGGAGGCCAAGCGAUUAGGCCUCAAGCUUAAGAAGGAUGCGAGUCGCAUCAAGGCUGUCAACUCUGAAGCGCGACCAAUCGUAGGAGUUGCAAAGAAUGUGGAGAUAGCCAUCGGCCUGUAGAGGGGCAAGGCUAAUCUUACUGCGGGGCCGCUCGACGACUUCGGAGUGAUCCUCGGGAUGGAUUUCUUUGUUUCGUCGAAGGCGGUGCCCAUGCCACAUUUGUGGGUGCUGAGCUUUCUGGACGAGUCAGUGCCUUGCAUGGUUUCGAUGUGUCGGGGUGAGCCGACGAAGGAUCCAACUCUGACAGCCCUGCAGCUUUGCGAGGAGGUGAAGCGCGGGAAGGCUGAGGACCUCGAGGAUGAGGGCCUGAGCAGCGGAGAGACUGUCAAGUCUCAUGCGACGCUGAACCAGCCAGCGCCCAAUCAAGGUGAGAGUCAUUCUGCCAAGGAGCCUGCGAGGACCAAGGGGCGUUCUGCAGCUUGGCGGAGUGCGCGUGCGUGUCACGGAGGACAUGCACACUCAGGGCAUUCUGCGGCUUGGUAGAGUGCGCGUGCGUGUCGCGGAGGACAUACACAUCCGGCGAAUUCUUCGCACAGCAGGCUCGCUGGUGCACUUGCUCAGAGGGGCAAGACACUUGGUGUUGGUGUGGGGACAGAUGCGGACAUGGGGAGCAAGGCACGGGGCCAAUCGCGCGCGAAGGCACGACGGACAGCGCGGAAGGCUAUGCGGGCCGGGAGCGACUCGGCGCGCGACGAGGGCGUUUGCACGUUAGGUGGGGGAGAAUGUCACGGACAAAAUAUUUUCCGUUGACUUCUCCUUGACAGUGGCCCAACUUCGCUAGCGGAGCGGGUUGUUAAAGAGACCCGAACCCAACCCGUUGUGGAAGACGAAGGGUUUUGUAACUACUCCUAUCAAUGAUGGAAGCUCAAGGAUUAUGAAACUACCAAGAGUUAAUAGGGUGACUCUUGAGCUUAUGGCUCAUUAUGAGAAUGAGUUAGUGGGUGUGUUGAGUGGCUAGAUUCAAUAUAUCUAGGAGCCUAUAUAUAUAGUGGGGUUUGGUUAAGGCUAAAGGACACAAGAGGGAAUGUGUAUAUAUGUUGUAAUCUCUUUUUCUAAAUAGUGGUGUACUUAAUUUUUUUUUAGUGAACCUCUGUCUCUCUCUCUUUGUCAUUCCCUUUGCAUACUUAGUCAUAGGACGCGAAGGUCUAGGCUAGCAAUAGGGACGAAGGCUUUCCCAUCUUCGAGCAGGAAGGCGGGCGCCGCACGAGCUUUGCGAACAGAAACGCUAAGGCCGUGACAGUUGGGUUCGGAUCUCUUUAACAACCCGCUCCGCUAGCGAAAUUGGGCCACUGUCAAGGAGAAGUCAAUGGAAAACAUUUUGUCCGUGACAUUCUCCCCCACCUAACACGCAAACGCUCUCGUCGCUCCCGGUCCGGAUAGCCUUCCGCGCGGUCCGUCGUGCCUUUACGCGCGAUCGGCCCCAUGCCUUGCCCCCAAUGUCCGCAUCUGUCCCCGCACCAACACCAAGUGUCUUGCCCCUCUGAGCAAGUGCACCAGCGAGCCUGCUGUGCGAAGAAUUCGCCGGAUGCGAACGGCUGCAGAACUAAAUAAAUGUGGGAACAAUUGUGGUAACCGAACAGACGUGAGUUCGAUACAUCCAUUCAUGUGUAUAAUCAUUUCAAAAGCUGAGAAAGUUAUAAAUAGUGAAAAAAAAAUAAUCUACAGUAUAAGAAUCUUUUCCAAACACAAGACCACUUUUCCUAAAAAUUGAAAAGAGAACCCUGGUGUUCUUUCUCUGUAUUCUCUAAUUUCUUCAAUUUUUUUUGAGAGAUAGAUAGCAUGCUAUCCGUUUCAUUUAUUUCAUUUAGAAAUAAAUUUAUUUAGAAAUGUGAAUCAACUAGGAUUCGAACUUGGGACCUCGGGUACCAACCACCAAACCUUUUGCUAUUUGCUCUAGAGACGAUCGGUCUAAUUUCUUCAAGUUAAAUAAAAAUCUUGCCAAUCAGCUAAUAGUUCAGCCGAACUUGUGCAAGUCCUAAUUUCAAGUCUUUUAUAGAAAAUUUCAAAUGAGAAACAAUCCAAUUAAGUAGAUGCCUCCUUAAUCUGUCACUUGCCUUGAAGAAGUCAGAUCUUUAAUAUUCUAGGAUCGUAUUUGCAGCUGAAUCACUGCCUGCUUCAGGUUUGACUUGGUAAACUGGCUCUAGUAUUUUUCAACUAGCAAACAGAGUAUGUUGCAUUUUUGGUCUCCAAACUGUGAGAGACACGGCACUUUAAUUUUUAAAAUUUAAUAUAUUAUAAUUUAUGAUUUGAAUUUUUUAAACUGUUGUUGCCGUCAAAUUUCACAGCCUAAAUUAAUUGGUUAAAUAUUAAUAUAUCGUUAAUAUAUAAACAAGGAAAAACUUCAAAUAUCCCCUGCGAUUUCGCACUUUCUUACUUUAAUACCAUGUGGUUUAAAGCGUAUCAAGUUAGCAUCUUGUGGUUUCACACUUUUUUACUUUAGUACUCUGUGGUUUAAAGUGUAUCAAGUUAGUACUCUGUGGUUUUAUAGCAAGUUAGUAUCAUGUGGUUUUAUUUUUCUCUUUUUAUUAUUCAUUUCGAGAUAUUUUUUUCGUUAAAUCAGUGAUAAAGUUAAAACUAAAGGGUACUAAAAUAAAUAUUUGAUAAACCUAGAUAGGAUAUCUGAAGUUUUUUAUAUAUAAUUUAACGAGAUAUUAAAUCACAGGGUACUAAAGUGAGGAAGUACGAAACCAUAGGGUACUAACUUAAUACACUUUAAACCACAGUACUAAAGGAAGAAAGUGCGAAAUCACAAAGAAGAUAUUUAAAAUUUUUCCUAGAAACAAUUUAGUAGUGAUGCGAUUGAUGAUACGAUAAUAAUUAAAAUAGUGAAUCACUUUCAUAUCAUUUGAGACUUAUAAUUAUAAUAAUUUAUAAAAUUUGAGUUAAAAAAUUAUAAUAAAUUAAAAUUUGAUUACGGCUUGAGAACAAAAAAAAAAAGAAAAAAAAAAGAAGUGUAAUUUACCCUACAAAUUAAAGACUUGGUUUUCAAUUUCGUGGCAACUCGAGGACACGGCCAUGGCCGCUUCCACUCCCACUCACCUCCCUCCUCCACCUCCUCUCCUCCCCACCCUACCUCCCUCACCGCCGCGCCUCCGCCGCGCGACGCGGCCCUGCGCCGCCGCCUCCUCCCCGGCACCGCCGCCGCGGCGCUCUCCUCCGGUGGCGUCCCCGGCCGCGCCACCCUCCUCGCCCUCCUCUCCGCGUGCUCGGACUCCGAAUCCCCAUCCGUCCCCAUCGCCCUCGCCCUCCACUCCCUCUCCCUCAAGCUAGGCCUCCACCGCGACCUCCUCCUCUCCACCGCCCUCGUCGGCUUCUACUCCAAAGCCCGCCUCCCCGCGCUCGCCCGCCGGGUGUUCGACCGAAUGCCCCUGAGGAGCUCCGUCUCCUUCAACACCAUGAUCGCGGGCCUCAUGCGCAACGGCGACGUCGAGGGCGCCUUCAGCGUGUUCGAUCGCAUGCCCCAGCCGGAUACAGUCUCUUGGACGGCGCUGAUCGACGGGUGCGUCAAGAACGGGCUCCUCGAAGCAGCCCUGGACUGCUUCCGCUUAAUGCGGCUCGAUGGGAUCGAGCCCGAUUACGUGACCAUCGUCGCCGUUGUCGCUGCUUGCGCGGCUCUCGGAGCGCUCGGCCAGGGUCUCUGGGUCCACCGGUAUGUCGUGACCUGCGAAUUCCGCCAAAACGUCCGAAUCGCCAAUUCGCUCAUCGAUAUGUAUGCGCGGUGUGGGCGUGUCGAUUUCGCUUACCAGGUGUUUGAGAAAAUGGCCAAGAGGACGGUGGUUUCUUGGAACUCGAUUAUCGUCGGCUUCGCGAUCAAUGGGCGGUGCGAGGACACGCUCGAGCACUUUGAAUUGAUGCGGAGGGAAGGGUUCGAGCCGGACGGAGUCACAUUCACCGGUGUGCUCGCCGCGUGUAGCCAUGUCGGAUUAGUCGACGAGGGGCUAAGAUACUACGAGCUCAUGCGCACGGAGUACAACAUUCCCCCAAGAAUCGAGCACUAUGGGUGUGUGGUGGACCUUCUCGGCAGGGCAAAGCGGCUGGAGGAGGCGAUGCGGGUGGUCGAGGAAAUGCCGAUGAGACCAAACGAAGUGGUGUUGGGCUCUCUUCUCGCCGCCUGUCGGAUGUACGGGGAUGUUAAGACGGCGGAGAGGCUGAUGGGGCUUCUUGUCGAGUUGGAGCCCGGCGGAGAUUCAAAUUACGUGCUGUUGUCGAAUAUAUACGCAGCCGCUGGGAGGUGGGAUGGCGUGGGGGCGGUGCGGAAUUUGAUGAAGGCUCACGGAAUAAAGAAGAAACCUGCGUUCAGUGCGGUCGAGAUUGAAGGUAGUGAGCAUGAGUUUAUGGCGGGAGAUAGGUCGCAUUCACGGUGCGAUGAGAUAUAUGAGAUGCUUGAGAUGGUUCAUCUUGAGAUGGAGGUGAACGGUUAUGUGCCAAGAGGCAGUACAGGUGCUUACUCAGAUUGUGACUGAUAAAUAUAUCAAGUUGCAGAUACAGUUCGUGUGGACAUUCCCGAAGGGGAAAAGACAUAAGCAACAAAUGAGGAUUGAAAGGUGCUCGUAAAUGGAAGCACUUCUUUUUUCCUUCUCCACUUUCUCAUACACUUGUCCCAUUUGGCAAUUAAUACACUUAAAAAUAAGAGAAAAACACCAGAUAAACACAACUAUUUACAGAACCAACAAUAACAAUUGAUGAGUGUGGCCCAGGUCUGUCUUUUUUCUGUUACAGAGAAAGAUCAGAGCUGCUAGGAGAUGGAGCCGGCCUCUUCACAAACGGAUGCUCCAGUAGUUCAGCAGCUGAGGGUCGUCGGCUUGGAAUGACCUGUACGCACAUUUGAAUGAAAUCGCGGGCCUCUCUUGUCAGGGAAGCUGGAAUAGGCGGCGGCUCACCCCGUCCGAUUUUAAAUAAAGCUUGAGUCUGCGAAUUGGUGGAGUGUUAUUGAAAGGCAGAUGAUUUAAAUUUCUGGAAGUAACAAAAAGAUAAAAGGGUCUCCUAUACGGAAUAUGGAACAGUGAGACUCAUGAAAGUAGUUCAUCCGUCCAAUCAAAUAACUUUUUCUACCUUUUCAUUUACCCUAAAUUAUAGCAAAUAUGAAGCAGUGAUUACUUUCUAUUAUGUCGAGGGAUGUAUCUUGCAUGUAAAAUGUACUCAAAUAAUGUUAUCACACUACGAUUUCUUUGACUUCACAAGAAGCAGAAAAGGUCUGCCCAGGAAUCAGAUUAUGGUCUAUGGGUUAAAAAUAAGGCAUUAUUGCAGUAUUUCAUACUAGACAUUCCGAAUACAUGUUUGCACAUGCUUCACAACUGGUAAGAAGGAAAAAGAAUGCAGUAGUUCAGUAAUCAGGUCCUAAGUCUCUUGAUUGUUGUAGUCAUGUGAAAGGAAACAAUUAAUCCUGCAACUAUUAUUGAUAAAAUAGAGCUCAUAAUGGAGAAGUACUUAGGCUUAGUUUGGUAUUGAGGUCUAUUUAACGCUAUUAGAUAAAAUGGAGUUGAGAAAAAAGCAUAUAGGGAUAUGCUUCUGCGUUCUCCGGUGGGACCGCAGAAAAUAUAUCAUAACCGACUCAUUGCAAUAUGCGGAACGCAAUAUUAUGUACGGAAACAAACCGGGUAUUUUUCCAACGUACUUUCUCACAGCACGUAAUGCAAUCUCCCCGCAAUCCCAAACGAAGCCUUAGAAAAGCCAAACAGAAAUCACUCGUGCAUGCCAAGCUCAGCCAAGCUGCUUAAUAUCCGUUUUGGCUAUUAUGUGGUUAGAAAGGUUGAUAUUCCUAUUAAUAUGCCCAUAUUAAAAGGACAUGCUACCUCCAAACUCAAGUUAAUUAUAGUGAAGAGAUGUACAUAAUCCGGUAUUAGUGAAUGACAAUCGUUUAAUUCUUGAUUAAUUUAUGACUUUGAUGCUCAUCUCAAUAGACCAUUAAUAACAGAAACUAUGUAUAAAUUCCCCAUUCUAGAUAUCAUAUGGCUAUCGGAAAUGUGAAAAUUUUGAUCAAAGUUGUUAGACUUCAUAGUAGUAUGACUAAAUAUCGAAUACUGGUCAGUUGAGACUCACCCAUUCUGUAUUAGGAUAAGGAAGCCGACCAGUCAGCAUCUCCAAAACAGUGCAACCGAGGCUCCAUAUGUCAGCUGAAGGCCCGUAAGGCUUUGCCCUAGCAACCUGUGAAUCAAACUCGGCAUCAGAUCGCACAUCAAAAUCUGGUGAAUAUAAAGUCUGGCCGCAGCAAACUUUUGAAAUAAAAAUUGUCUGAAAGCAGAUACGCAAAAAUAGUAAUCGGUGCAAAGAGUUGUGUGUUCUUGAUGUAAGUUAAAUCAUGGUUAAGUUCUAUCAGAGCAAUAGUAAUAGACCAAUUACCAACGACAGGGAGAAAAGUUUGGCCUCAUUCUAUCUUAUUAUAGGAGAAAUUAGUUUCAAGUUGGACUCUUAGUAUAUCCACAAAAGUUAGGCAAGCAAUCAUACUUCACGAAAAAGAAAAAGAAAACAAAAGGGCAAAUCAGUUUCAAAGUUCAAAGUAAUUUUAACAUUUUGGGUUCUACAACGUGUAGAGAGCCUUGCAAGAACUGCAUCAUGAACAAUGAAUCAUGGCCACAUGAUUUUUGGACUCAUUUUAAUUAUGAUUAACAAGAUGUAAACAAGACAGAAACAAGCUGACCUCUGGUGCCAUCCAGUAGACACUUCCUUUGCUAGAUUUCAAGCCAUUUGACAUAGUUGUCUGAGAUACAUAGACAAAAGUUAAAAUCCAACUCCUGAAAUGCAGUUUAAAAAUGGAUACAAGCAUAAGCUACCAAGCCAUGAAAGUCAAUGCAAAAAAGAAUAGAUUUGACCUCCUUUGCAAGUCCGAAAUCUGCAAGUUUCACAGCUCCAUUUGAAUCGACCAGUAUAUUAGCACAUUUGAUAUCUCUGGAAAGAAAAUAAAUGUGCAAGAGUUGGUGAAGAUUGACAUAAUAUAAUACUAUAAGAGACAUAGAUUCCAAAGCCCAAAAAUCAUACAUGUGUAAAUGAGUUUUUGCUGCAUGAGAAAGUGGUUUUCUCCUUUUCUUAUUAACUGUGGUAACAAAGUCAUUUUCUCCCUUAUCCCAAGUAUAACUUCCCUGUUUUUUUUGCUCUGAACUUUUUGUCCUCUUUAUCUUCAUUAGUCACUGUAAAAAUCCUAAGUAGCCAUGUGCCAGCUAAGCCAGUUGGCGCAGACCAAAUCAGCCCUCUUAAAGAUGCAAUACUUCUUUUUUAUCAGCAAAAAAAAUCAAUUGACAUACUAGGGUUCUCUCUAAACCUUUUUAAUCUUUAAUGUUCACUCUCUACCCUUUAGUAAUCAAUAUAUGAAAGGCAAAACUUUUCCCUGUUUGACAAACUCUAUGGAUCACCUGAAGGACCAUAGUCAGGCUGGCAUGUUAUAGCUCUAAUGCAUACAUUUGUGCACGACUUUAUUACAAAAAGUAAAUGAUUUAAAGCUUCACAUGAGACCUAAGCAAGGCCAUUUCCUCUGCAACUAUAUCUCAAGUAUAGUCAACUCUUCACACUCCAUAAAUGGCAAUAAGUACAAGAUAAUUAGUUUGGGCAAAAGACAUAUAUGCUAGUAUUCCAGCCUAGUUCUAUAUAUAGAGUCCGGCUGCUAUGCUAUCAAUAGUACCAAACAUUUGGUACUAUCAAGUUUUCUGCUGUUAGAUUAACCCUUUUGAUUUUUUUUACCAGUUAGAUUAUACUAUUCAACCAAUUUAACCAAUUUAUGCUCUCUCUCUCUCUCUCUAUAUAUAUAUAUAUAGAGAGAGCAUAAAAUGAGGGCCAAUUUAAGCAUAAUGAGCAUCCUUAUCUCUGAUGUAGACAUUUGCAACUUUACAGUAAUGUUUUUUUAUGUUAUCAUAUCAUGGCAUAUUGGCAUGUGUAUUAACUUGUGGUCCAACAACAACGCUGCUUUUCUAUUUUGGCUUCAUUAGAAAAUGCAUCACUUUUUUAUUUACUUUCUGACAUAUCUAUUCCAAUAAACAUCACCAUCUCUUGCCUACAGAUUAAGUACUACAGGGUAACAAGUUUACUAGUUAAAACAUUGUAGCACGUUGCUAUCAUGCAAAAGCAAGCAAGAUCCAAGAUAGUUAAAUGCACGAGUAUCAGCACACAAAUCACAUAACACUCCAAUUUAGUAACCUGUGCACGACAUUGCGCUGAUGUAGAUAAUUUAACCCAUGUAGAAUCUGCCUUGUGUAUGCAGAGACUUGUGAAUUCUGCAAUCGGUACUUCUGAUACAGAGAUGCCAAAGAGCCUCGACUAACAAGUUCAAGGAAGACGUAUAAUGUUGCUUUUGCCUGUAAUACAAGAGAAUAAACAAGUAUAAGAAUCCAUAAGAAAGUCUCUUUAACAUGAAAAUAGGUAUUUGUCAUGACCAACUGCAGAUAACACUUAAAAUACCUUCUCAGUUCCAUAAUACUGAACUAUGUUCUCAUGUUGGAAACGACUUAAAAGCAAGAUUUCCUGAAAUCAGAAGCUCAGCAUUAGGACAUAAGAAAAAUUUCUGUAAACGAUGUCACACUUUAAAAUUGAGUACCCAGUAAUUUUUUUAUUUUUGAACAGCAGAAAAAAAAAGUUUGUCAAGAACAAUCAGACUAAAUUACCACAACAUAUAAAAGGAAUUCUUCAAGAAUUAUUUUAAAGAGUACGACAUGUAUUCACCUGCUCCAGUUGAAAAAUACGCUGUUCUGCGUUAUUUCCUUGGUCAAGUAAGGAGACUUCUUUAACAGCAAAGAAAAACCCGUCGCUGGAAUAAAAAAGGUAAAUUAUAACGUUUGAUAUGGAUAUGUGCUCACAAAACUAUGUAUUACAUGCCAAAUUGCCCAUAUAAGGAAUUUGGGAUUGGCUGCAGGAGUAUGGACAACAACACUACGAGUUCACAUAAAUAUAUGAGCACUAUUAUAUUCUAUAAACAGCUAGGAUAGAAUGAGAAUAUAAGUAUAAUAUAACAGCCAACAAUAGUGGGUUAAAAAAAAAUUUAGUUUUGCAAAUCAUGGCAGAAGGUUUAUACCAUGAUGAUUUUUACCUUCAUAUUAUCAUCUAGAUUUUUAUCUUCAUAUCAUCCAUAGAUGAUAAAACAUAGCAGGCAAAACUGUUACCUAGAAAAGAAUCAUGAUAGAAACCAAUGAGUAGUCCGAUGGAAUGUAGAGCUUUUCCUACCCAUGCUAAUCUUUCCUAUCAGGGUAUGUUUGCUUCGUGAUUGAAAUAGUAAUAGAAAAUAGAAUUGGAUUGCAUUGGAAUGGAAAAUGGAAUGACGAAUUAUCCAAAAAUAUUCGGUUUAUUAUUGGAAUGGAAAUCGGAAUGAACAUCUAGGGUUUUGAGAGAGCAUUUUGAUUAAGAGAGAGGAGAGUGACGGAUUGAGAGGAGGGGAAGGUAUUUGUGAGAGAAGGCUUCGAGUGGUUUAAUUUGGAAUGGGCCAAUCCUGGAGUCAUAGCCGGAUUGGGCUAUAAAUGAAUUAGGCCAUUCCCAUUCUAGCGUGGACUGGGAAUGGGAAUCCGAUUCCUACAAAACAAACAAUAACUAUCGAAAUCAAUGAAUCUCAUUCCGAUUCCAUAGUCCAAAAUAGGUGAACCAAACAAGCCAUUAAUGUACUGGUACUUUUGAUCUAAAGAAAUAAAGAACUCAUCCAAGGUGUUCAAUAGGCCCAUUAGCUAGUCCAUGGAUAUCCAUCACUUUUCCUUACCUAGAUGGAGUAGACUCCACUGGUUAUUCUUAUGCCUACUCUGUUAUAGUAUGAACAUAACUCCAAACUGAUCUGAAAAUGGAAACAAGGUACUUGAUGGGGUCAUUGGGGUGUAAUCAUUAAGCCUACCAUAAACAUAAUUUGAGUCCUUUACAAUAAGAAAAAUGAGUAAAAUGCCAUUUAUAGUAAUGAGAAUAAAAUCCAAUUUCCUUGGUGUCUAGCUUAUUAACUGUUCUACAUGUUUGAUUAUCUGUAUACAUACCUCAGCUUAAAAUUUCCUACGUAUGUGGAACUAAAUUAGAUACCAAAACAUUGAAUUAGUGCAACAAGUAAUUUUGACAAGGAAUGAGCAGCUGUAAAGAAUAGGAUGCAUGUAAUUGAAUAUAAUUGAAUAUAAUUAAGAUCAAAAGAAUGAAGGAAAAUGUGAAUUUAACAACAAAAAAUAUAUGGCGGCUUACUCGCUGAUGGCCUCAUAAACCGUUCCAAAGGAUCCACUACCAAGAAGCUCCCCUUUAGUCCAUGAUCUGAUCACCCUCUUGAGCAUCCCGUUAGGCGAUACGGUGAUCGCUCCUGCAGUGCGUGCGCUCAAAGACUCAUCACCUUUGCUUGGAGAAUUCUCCGCACCUGAUGGUACAACCCUCUCAUAAUUCGAAGUCGAUUCCGCGAGACCUCUCGCAGUCACUCCCAUUCUCGUCCCCUUCGCUUCAUCGUCUCCGUCCCCCGCAACUUCCUCUUUCUCUUUCGAAGAGCGAGAUCUCCUCUCGGCCGGGGGAGGUAAAUUAGCCCUAAUUUUGCCACGUUCGGCUCCAUCAGGAUCCGCGCCGCUCCCGACGAUCGAAACCCUAACACUAGCAUCUUCUUUCGGGAUUGGGGGAGGAGAGGGAGGGGGAUGGUGGCGGAGGAGGUCGGAGUGGGUCUUGGAGGCGGCCCAGACGGAGUGGGAGAUGGCGAAGUCCUCGGGCCCGGAGAGGCCGAAGGCGCGGUAGAGGAGGUCGACCUCGCCGUCGACCCCGCCGCGGAUCCCGAAGCUCUUCUGCGCGGCGAAGGCGGCGGCGGCGGCUGCGGCUGCGGCGGAGGCUUCGAGGUCGACGGAGGAGGACUCGUACUCCACGUUCUUGAUGGCGUUGAUGCGCUCGAGUCGCCGGCGCCCCGAUCCCGGUGAGCGCUUGUAGUCCAUCGUCGUCGUCGUCGUCGUCUUCGACCUUCGCUUCUCUCCUCGACGAGGAAGAGGCAGAAGAAGAGGAAAAGCAGGAUAACGAUGGAGGAGGAAGGAGGAGCUCAAGCAGCUUUGUACAGCUGUUUUUUUUUGUAUUUUUGUUUGUUUGGGUAAAUUACACUUUGGUCCUCAAACUAUGUACUGCCUGUCACAUUGAUCCUUGAAUUAAGUUAUUAGAAUAUUUGACUCCAGCUUUCUCAAUUGUUCUAAUCAAGUUUCACAAUUCAAUUUAGUUUGCCAAAAAUUAAUUAACCGUAGAGAUAUAUGUAAUAUAAUAUUUUAAUUAUUAUUACAUAAUCAAUUAAAAUAAUCAAGUUUUACAAUUCAAUUUAGUUUGCCAAAAAUUAAUUAACCGUAGAGAUAUAUGUGAUAUAAUAUUUUAAUUAUUAUUAUAUAAUCAAUCAAAAUACUUUCACAUUAUUUUUAUAUUAGUAAUUUACUCAUAUUUAACUAAUUAAAUUACAUUGUAGGACUUAAUUAGAAUAAUUCAGAAAUUUGAGUUAAAAAAUAAUAAGUUGAAAUUUGAGGACCAAAAUGCUAACGCGUUUCCAAAGUUUAAGGACCAAAAGUGCAAUUUGCCUUUUCCUUUUGCUUUUUUUUUUUUUUUUUUUGUCCGGUUUGUUGACUAAGCAGCUCCCUUGCAGAAGAGAAGUCGUUGUGUGUGUAAUUGUGUACUGAAAAUAAACCGGAUAUAAAUAAAUAAAUAAAUAAAUGGGAUAAAGAUUUAAAUAUUGUGGAAAGGCGCCGUCCUAGUUAAGAAAUUAUUUCUUGCACCCGGUGUAUCCGUACUUGUUAUGCACCGUAACAAAAUUUUGACGAUAACUUUAUUAAUAAAACUUUAAAUCAUAAUCAGAUAAUUUAAAUCUACGUCAUAUUUAACAUAAAUUUUUUACUAUAAUACAAAAAAUAAAAUUUAAAUAAUAAAAUAUUUUAUUUGAAUUAUAGAAUAGUAAAAUAAAGUGCAAAAUAAAAAGGUAAAAAGGGCUUUUUUUUUUUUGCAAAUAGCCCCCUCACAAAUAUUUAUUUUAAAAUUGGCCCUAUUAAAAUUUAAUUUGCAAAAAUAGUCCUGAUCCUGCCACGCAAGCGCCACGUCAGCGCCACGCUGGCGAGGCUGGGCCAGGUGUUUAAGUUGAACACGGUGAAUCAUUCACCGUGUCCAAUACAAAUGGGUAUUUGUAUUAGACACGGUGAAUCAUUCACCGUGUCCAAUAUAAAUGGGUAUUUGUAUUGGACACGGUGAAUGGUUCACCGUGUCCAAUACAACUAUUUAGGCCUUGAUCAUUUUUUGGGUAAAUGGGUAUUUAUAUUGGACACUGUGAAUCAUUCAUCGUGUCCAAUACAAAUAUGGGUAUUUGUAUUGGACACGGUGAAUGAUUCACCGUGUUCAAUUUUGCCCCAACUCCCCGCGUGGCGUUGACGUGGCGCCCACGUGGCAGGGACAGGGCUAUUUUUGCAAUUUAAAUUUUGACAGGACCAUUUUUGAAAUAAAAUUUUCUAAGGGGGCUAUUUGCAAAAAAAGCCCAGGUAAAAAUGUACUAAACCAUACCGGUAAAAGUUGAGGUUUAUCCUUAUCGAUAAUAAUCAGCUCGUGAGAGGAGGAUGGGUGUGGUGAAAUGGUCGUAUUUGGAUAAUGGUCAACGGGCGCGCAUUUUGAUCGCGCUGACCAAACAUUCUUUGAUUGGAUGUGAGCCGUCGGAUGAGCAGCCAACGGUGGAGAGCUCACAUAGUCAUUGCGUCAUGUGAUGCGUCAGUAAUUGUCAAACAUAAUUUUCAAAAAAAAGUAAAUAUAAUUUAUUCUAAUUAUUUAUUCUUCUUUAUUUAUUCUAAUUUUCUUAAAUUGUUAUAUUAAAUUUUAUAGUGUAAUUUUUUUAAGUAAUUAGUGAUGCGUUGCAGAUAUGGCAAUAAUACGAUAUCUUAGUUAUUUAUAUACCAUUAACUAUAAUACUGUUAUAUCACUUUCGUAUUAAUAAUAUAUUAUUAUUUAGUGAAUUUGAACUAGAAAUUAGUCCACCUGUUUAACAUGUUUAUUGGACAUUUGAUAUUCAGAUUUGACUAAUAGAAUUAUAGAACCUGCUUGACCCUCUAUCGAUUCAUCGAUUCAUUGAACAUUAAAUUCAAAUUUUUUUUUAAUAAAAUAAGUAAAUAUAUAUCCACUUUCAAAUUAACAUGCACCACAACAUCUUAUAAUAGGGUUUUCAAUUUUGGCAUGCAAUUCACUCUCAGCCCAAUAAUACCCACUACAAUCCAGGCCCAUUUACUUCUCUUAAUAAGUUGGUAGAUGAAAAUUUUUUAUUUUAUUUUGGUAAACUAUUUUAAAUCGGUUAAUUAAUCUUUCAAAAUUUUGAUUCUACUAUAGUUUUGUUUGAUUUGAGCCGGUUAAUAGUAUUUUGACUUUAAAAUUUAAGCUAAUUACUUAUUUUAAUGAUUUAUUGUUACGAUAAUUGCAUGAAGUAUACUAGCCAUACCUGUAAAAAUGAAUGGCAUAUUCAAAUUUUAUAGUUAAAGUGUCGCUAAUUGAUUCAAAUUAAAUAAAUUGAAAUGUUGGAUAGUGAAACAAAAUUUUGAAAGGUCGAAUAGCUAACCCAAUAAGGUUCAUAGUUAAGAUAAGUUCUGUAUUUUUUAUCUUUUAUUUUUAUUUUUUUUAUUUUUUUAAAAUGAGGAAACGAGUACUCCAACCAUAAUUUUGAAUGGCUAAAUUUAUUGCCUUUGUUUUGUGAUUCAUAAAUAUUCAUUAAUGAACUAUUGCCAUAUAAUAUGCUUGCAAGAAAUUUGUAAAAGUGUUAGUAAGUACAGCGUUACUCAUAUUAAUUUGCAGCCUGAAUUUAAAAUUUAGAUAAAAAUAUAUAAAUUUUACCUCAACUAUCACCCAUUUGGAUUUAACUUUCUAACCUUUAAAAGUUUUGAUAUAAUUAGCUGAUCUUUUAAUUUAUUUGAUUUGAAUCAGUUAGUGAAAUUUAAAUUCAAAAUUUAAAUUUUUCGUUUAUCUUUACGAAUUUAGUUAAUAAAUUAUAUGCAAUUUACGAAACUGCAAAUUUAUUGAAGUAAGAAAUUAGCUUAAAUUUCAUAUUCGAAGAGCCAUUGAAUCACUUAAAUGAAACAAAUUUAAAGGUUGGAUAGUAAAAUCAAAAUUUUGAAAGAUUAGAUAGUCGAACCAAAAUGGUCUAUUGUUCAUAUAAGUUUUAUACAUUUUUACUAAAAUUUAUUCAAGAAACAUUCAUGAAUUCAUAAAAGAGCUUCUACUAUGAAUUAUUGCCUAACUAGGUCUAGUUAAACAACCAUUUUGAUUCGACUAUUUAAUAUUUCAAAAUUUUGAUUUUAAUACCUAACCUUUCAAUUGGUUUCAUUUAAGUGAUUCGAUGGCUCUUCGAAUACUACAUUUAAACAAAUUACUUACUUUAAUAAGUUUGUAGUUACGUAAAUGCAUAUAAUAUACUAACUAAAUCCGCACAGAUAAAUAAUAAUUGAAAAUUUGAAGCUAAAGUGUUCUUGGGGAUAAGCAAAAAGUGGCUAUCCUAGGAAUAGGUAUAAAUUGAGGUAUAAACGGAGAUUAGAUCAAUUUUGCGUUUGGAUAAAAAUUGGGUUAUUCCUAGAUAUAAGAAAAAUAGUUUUUGCUUAGAUAAGAUAGAAUAAGAAUUAAAGUGGGUAAUUAUAAAUAAAAAAUAAUGAUAUUACCUUUCUUAUUAUAUUUAAAUUUAAAAUUUUAAAUUAUAUAUAUUUUUAAAUUUAAAAUUUUAACUUUUAAAUUUCAAAAUUUAAAAUUAAAAUUUAAAAUUUAAAAUCUCAAAUUUUAAAUUCAAAAUUUUAAAUUUUAAAUUUCAAACUUUAAAUUUAAGUUCAAAUUUAAAUUUAAAAAAUAUAAAAUAUCAAAUUUUAAAUUUCAAAUUAAAAUAUCAAAAUUUAAAUUUAAAAUUUAAAAUUUAAAAUUAUAAACUUUAAUUUUGAGAUUAUAAAUUAUAAAUUUUAAAAAUUUUUAAUUUUUUCAAAUAAGAAUAGGGGUGGAAACAAUUAAUAAAAAUAAUUUAUUAUAAUAAAUGUAUAAAUUUUUUUAAAAUUCUACUUAAACUUAAAUUUAAUAAAAAGAAUUUAUUAUAAUAUUUAAAUAUAAUUUAUUAUAAAUUUUAUUAUAAUAUUUAAAUAUAAAUAAUAUGUAUUAAUAUAGUACAAUUAAUAAUUUUAUAAUAAAAAUAAGAUAUUAUAAUAUAUAACAUAUUAUAUUUAUAUAAUUUAGUUUUAAUUUAAUUUAUAAUUUUAAUAAAGUUUGAAAUUAAAUAUUGGAAUAGUACUAUUCCAUCAAAAUGAUGGAAUAAUAAAUCCUAAGCUAUUUCGGAAUAGCCGGAAAUAAUAAAAUUUGACCAGAAUAAAAUAUUAUGGCCAAAAAUUAUUUUGUUAUGCGGAAUAGCAAGGAUAACCUUCGUUAUCUCUGCUUAUACCGCCAACCAAACGGGC